rnacentral:lncRNA from 1 species
GAGAAGCGACUGUAGGUCGUGAGCUCUAGGCUCUAAAUGGAAAAAAUACGACUCUGGGUCGUGAGCUCUAGGCUCUAAAUGGAAAAAAAAUGAUAAAUGAAAAACGACUUUAGGUCGUGAGCUUUAAGCUCUAAAUGGAAAAAGAAUGACUUUGGAUCAUAAAUGAAAAACGACUCUAGGUCGUGAGCUCUGGGCUUUAAAUGGAAAAAAAAUGACUAUGGGUCAUAAGUGGAAAACGAGUCUAGGUGUGAGCCAGGCUCUAAAUGGAAAAAAUAAGACUCUAUGUCAUAAAUGAAAAACGACUCUAGGUCGUGAGCUCUGGGCUCUAAAUGGAAAAAAAUGACUUUGGGUCAUAAAUGAAAAAGGACUCUCGGACAUGAGCUCUAGGCUCUAAAUGGAAAAAAAUGACUCUGGGUCAUAAAUAAGAAACGACUCUAGGUCGUGAGCUUUGGGCUCUAAAUGGAAAAAAUACAAAUCUGGGUCAUAAAUGAAAAAACAAUCUCGGUCAUGAGCUCUGGACUCUAAAUGGAAAAAAAAAUGAUAAAUGAAAAACGAGUUUGGGUCAUGAGGUCUAGGCUCUAAAUGAAAAAAGAAUGACUUUGGGUCAUAAAUGAAAAAUGACUCUAGGUCAUGAGCUCUGGGCUCUAAAUGAAAAAAUACGACUCUAGGUCAUAAAUGAAAAACAACUCUAGGUUGGGAUCUCUAGGCUCUAAAUGGAAAAAAAAGUGAUAAAUGAAAAACGACUUUGGGUCGUGAGUUCUAGGCUCAAAAUGGAAAAGAAUGACUCUAGGUCAUAAAUAUAAAAUGAUUCUCAGACAUGAGCUCCGGGCUCUAAAUGGAAAAAAAAUGAAUAUGGGUCAUAAAUGAGAAACGACUCUAGGUCGUGAGCUCUGGGUUCUAAAUGGAAAAAAUACGACUCUGGGUCGUGAGCUCUAGGCUCUAAAUGGAAAAAAAAUGUUAAAUGAAAAACGACUCUAGGUCAUGAGCUUUAGGCUCUAAAUUGAAAAAAAAUGACUUUGGGUCAUAAAUGAAAAACGACUCUGGGUCGUGAGCUCUGGGCUCUAAAUGGAAAAAAAAUGACUAUGGGUCAUAAAUGGAAAACGAGUCUAGGUUGUGAGCCAGGCUCUAAAUGGAAAAAAUAAGACUCUAGGUCAUAAAUGAAAAACAACUCUGGGUCAUGAGCUCUCGGCUCUAAAUGGAAAAUAAUAAUAAUAAUAAAUGAAAAACAACUCUAAGUCGUGAGCUUUAGGCUCAAAAUGGAAAAAGAAUGAAAUUGGGUCAUAAAUGAAAAACGACUCUAGGUCGUGAGCUCGGGGCUCUAAAUUGAAAAAAAAUGACUAUGGGUCGUAAAUGGAAAACGAGUCUAGGUCAUGAGCUCUAGGCUAUAAAUGGAAAAAGAAAAUUACUUGGGGUCAUAAUUGAAAAAUGACUUUGGGUCAUGAGCUCUAAGCACUAAAUGGAAAAAAAAAUGACUCUAGGUCAUAAAUGAAAAAUGACUCUAGGUCGUGAGCUCUGACCUCUAAAUGGAAAAAAAUGACUCUGGGUCAUAAAUGAAAAACGACUAUAGGUCAUGAUCUUUGGGCUCUUAAUAGAAAAAAAAAAUGAUAAAUGAAAAAUUACUCUAGGUCGUGAGCUCUUGGCUCUAAUUGGAGAAAGAAUGACUAUGGGUCAUAAAUGAAAAAUCACUCUAGGUCAUGAGUUCUGGGCUCGAAAUGGAAAAAGAAUGAUAAAUGAAAAAGGAUUCUGGGUUGUGAGCUCUAGGCUCUAAAUGGAAAAAGCAUGACUUUGGGUCAUAAAUGAAAAAUGACUCUUGGUCAUGAGCUUUAAGCUCUAAAUGGAAAAAAAUGACUCUAGGUCAUAAAUGAAAAACGUCUCCUGCUCUGGGCUCUAAAUGGAAAAAAAUGACUUUGGGUCAUAAAUGAAAAAUGACUCUAGGUCGUGAGCUCUGAGCUCUAAAUGGAAAAAAAAUGAUUCUGGGUCAAAAAUGAAAAAUGACUCUAGGUCUUGAGCUCUAGGCUCUAAAUGGAAAAAAAUAAAAAAGAUAAAUGAAAAACGACUCUGGGUUGUGAGCUCUAGGUUCUAAAUGGAAAAAGAAUGACUUUGGGUCAUAAAUGAAAAAUGACUCUAGGUCGUGAGGUCUGGGCUCUAAAUGGAAAAAAAAAUGACUCUGAGUCAUAAAUGAAAAACGACUCUAGGUCGUGAGGUCUGGGCUCUAAAUGGAAAAAAAAUGACUAUGGAUCAUAAUAGAAAAAACGAUUCUGGGUAGUGAGCUCUUGGCAUUAAAUGGAAAAAAAACGACUCUCGGUCAUACAUGAAAAUUAAGUCUAGGUGCUGAGCUCUGGCCUCUAAAUGGAAAAAAAUGACUCUAGGUCAUAAAUGAAAACAUCUCUGGGUCGUGUGCUCUGGGCUUUAAAUACAAAAAAAAAAUGCCUAUGGGNNNNNNNNNNNNNNNNNNNNNNNNNNNNNNNNNNNNNNNNNNNNNNNNNNNNNNNNNNNNNNNNNNNNNNNNNNNNNNNNNNNNNNNNNNNNNNNNNNNNAUGGAUUUUAUUAGAUAAAACGACUCUGGGUAGUGAGCUCUUGGCAUUUUUUGGAAAAAAAACGACUCUCGGUCAUACAUGAAAAUUAAGUCUAGGUGCUGAGCUCUGGCCUCUAAAUGGAAAAAAAUGACUCUAGGUCAUAAAUGAAAAACAUCUCUGGGUCGUGUGCUCUGGGCUUUAAAUAGAAAAAAAAAAUGCCUAUGGGUCAUAAAUAAAAAAUGACUUUGGGUCGUGAGCUUUGAGCUCUAAAUGGAAAAAAAAACGAUUCUGGGUUAAAAAUGAAAAACGACUCUGGGUCGUGAGCUCUGGGCUCUAAAUUGAAAAAAAAAUGAUAAAUGAAAAACGACUCUGGGUUGUGAGCUCUAAGUUCUAAAUGGAAAAAGAAUGACUUUGGGUCAAAAAUGAAAAAUGACUUUGGGUUGUGAGGUUUGGGCUCUAAAUGGAAAAAAAUGACUCUGGGUCAUAAAUGAAAAACGACUCUAGGUCGUGACCUCUGGGCUCCAAAUGGAAAAAAAAAAAUGACUGUGGAUCAUAAUAGAAAAACGAUUAUGGGUUGUGAGCUCUAGGCACUAAAUGGAAAAAAAAAAAAAAAACGACUCUCGGUCAUAAAUGAAAAUUGACUCUAAGUUGUGAGCUCUGGCCUCUAAAUGGAAAAAAAAUCACUCAGGGUCAUAAAUGAAAAACGACUAUAGGUUGUGAGCUCUGGCCUAUAAAUGGAAUAAAAAAAUGAUAAUUGAAAAAUUACUCUGAGUCAUGAGUUCUAAGCUGUAAAUUGAAAAAGAAAUGACUAUGGGUCAUAAAUGAAAAAUGACUCUGGGACGUUAGCUUUGGGCUCUAAAUGGAAAAAAAAAGAAAAAAAACUCUAGGUCAUAAAUGAAAAAUGACUCUGGGUCGUGAGUUUUGGGAUCUAAAUGGAAAAAAAUGAUAAAUGAAAAAUGACUCUAGGUCGUGAGCCCUUAGAUCUAAAUGGAAAAAGAAUGACUUUGGGUCAUAAAUGAAAAAAGACUCUAGGUCGUGAGCUCUGGGCUCUAAAUGGAAAACAAUGAUUUUGGGUCAUAAAUGAAAAAUGACUCUCGAUCUUGAGCUCUGGGCUCUAAAUGGAAAAAAAUGACUCUAGGUCGUGAGUUGUAGCCUCUAAAUGGAAAAAAAAAAAAAAUGACUCUCGGUCAUAAAUGAAAAACGACUCUAACUCAUGAGCUCUGGGCUUUAAAUGGAAAAAAAAAUGACUUUGGGUCAUAAUUGAAAAACGACUCUAGGUCUUGAGCUUUAGGAACUAAAUGGAAAAAAAAUAUGACUCUAGGUCAUAAAUGAAAAAUGACUAUAGGUUGUGAGCUUUAGCCUCUGAAUGGAAAAAAAUAACUUUCGAUCAUAAAUGAAAACCAACUAUAAGUGUUGAGCUUUGGGAUCUAAAUGCAAAAAAAAGAAAUGAUAAAUGAAAAAUUACUCUAGGACGUGAGCUCUAGGCUCUAAAUGGAAAAAUAAUGACUUUGGGUCAUAAAUUAAAAAUGACUUUAGACUCUAAAUGGAAAAAAAAAAACUCCGGGUCAUAAAUGAAAACGACUCUAGGCUCUAAAUGGAAAAAAAAAAUGACUUUGGAUCAUAAUAGAAAAAUGAUUCUGGGUCAUGAGCUUUAAGCAUUAAAUGGAAAAAAAAAAAAACGACUCUUGGUCAUAAAUGAAAAUUGACUUUAGGUCUUGAGCUCUGGACUCUAAAUGGAAAACAAUGACUCUGGGUCAUAAAUGAAAAACGACUAUUAGGUUGUGAGCUCUAGGCUCUAAAUGGGAAAAAAAAAUAAUAAAUGAAAAUUUUCACUAGGUCAUUAGCUCUAGGCUGUAAAUUGAAAAACAAAUGACUAUGGGUCAUAAAUGAAAAAUGACUCUAGGUCGUGAGCUUUGGGCUCUAAAUGGAAAAAAAAGAAAAAAUCCUAUAGUUCAUAAAUGAAAAAUGACUCUCAGUCGUGAGUUUGGGAUCUAAAUGAAAAAAAAAUGAUAAAUGAAAAACAACUCCGGGUUGUGAGCUCUAGGAUCUAAAUGAAAAAAGAAUGACUUUGGGUCAUAAAUGAAAAACGACUCUAGGUCGUGAGCUCUGGGCUCUAAAUGGAAAAAAAAAAUGACUCUGGGUCAUAAAUAAAAAACGACUCUCGGUCUUGAGCUCUGAGCUCUAAAUGGAAAAAAAAUGACUCUAGGUCAUAAAUGAAUAACGAAUUUGGGUCCUGAGCACUAGGCUCUAAAUGGAAAAAAAAAUGACUCUAGGUCAUAAAUGAAAAAUGACUCUAGGUCAUGAGUUAUAGCCUCUAAGUGGAAAAAAAAAAUGACUCUGGGUCAUAAAUGAAAAACGACUCUUACUCAUGAGCUCUGGGCUCUAAANNNNNNNNNNNNNNNNNNNNNNNNNNNNNNNNNNNNNNNNNNNNNNNNNNNNNNNNNNNNNNNNNNNNNNNNNNNNNNNNNNNNNNNNNNNNNNNNNNNNAAAAAAAAUGACUCUGGGUCAUAAAUGAAAAACGACUCUAACUCAUGAGCUCUGGGCUCUAAAUGGAAAAAAAAAAUGACUUUGGGUCAUAAUUGAAAAACGACUCUAGGUACUAAAUGGAAAAAAAAAAAUGACUCUGGGUCAUAAAUGAAAAAUGACUCUAGGUCGUGAGCUCUGGCCUCUGAAUGGAAAACAAUAACUUUGGGUCAUAAAUGAAAAACAACUAUAAGUCUUGAGCUUUGGGCUCUAAAUGCAAAAAAAAAAAAAAAAAAAAAAAAAAAAAAAAAAAAAAGAUAAAUGAAAAAUUACUCUAGGACGUGAACUCUAGGCUCUAAAUGGAAAAAGAAUGACUAUCGGUCAUCAAUGAAAAAUGACUCUAGGUCGUGAGCUUUGGGCUCUAAAUGGAAAAAAAGAAACUCUAGGUCAUAAAUGAAAAAUGACUUUGGGUCGUGAGCUCUGGGAUCUAAAUGGAAAAAAAUGAUAAAUGAAAAACAACUCUAGGCAGUGAGCUCUAGGUCGUGAGAUCUAGGCUCUAAAUGGAAAAAGAAUGACUUUGGGUCAUAAAUGAAAAACGACUCUUGGUCAUGAGCUCUAUGCUCUAAAUGGAAAAAAAUGACUCUAGGUCAUAAAUGAAAAACGACUCUCGGUCUUGAACUUUAGGCUCUAAAUGGAAAAAAAAUGACUCUAGGUCAUAAAUGAAAAACGAAUUUGGGUCUUGAGGUCUAGGCUUUAAAUGGAAAAAAAAAAUGACUCUGGGUCAUCAAUGAAAAAAGACUCUAGGUCGUGAGCUUUAGACUCUAAAUGGAAAAAAAUGACUUUGGGUCAGAAAUGAAAAACGGCUCUAGGUCGUGAGCUCCAGGCUCUAAAUGGAAAAAAAUGACUUUGGGUCAUAAAUGAAAAACGACUCUAGGUCAUGAGCUUUACGUUCUAAAUGGAAAAAAAAUGACUCUAGGUCAUAAAUGAAAAACGAAGUCGUGAGCUCUGGGCUCUAAAUGGAAAAAAUAAUGAGAAAUGAAAAAUGACUUUGGGUCGUGAGCUCUAGGCUCUUAAUGGAAAAAAGAAUGACUUUGGGUCAUAAAUGAAAAACAACUCUGGGUCGUGAGGUCUAGGCUCUGAAUGGAAAAAAAAAUGAGUCUGGGUCAUAAAUGAAAAACGACUCUAGGUCGUGAGCUCUGGGCUCUAAAUGGAAAAGAAAAAUGAGUUUUGGUCAUAAUUGAAAAAUGAGUCUGGGUCAUAAGCUCUAGGCACUAAAUAGAAAAAACAAAUGACCAUGGGUCAUAAAUGAAAAAUGACUCCAGGUCGUGAGCUAUGGCCUCUAAAUUAAAAAAAUGACUCUGUGUUAUAAAUGAAAAACGACUAUAGGUCGUGAGCACUUUGCUCUAAAUGGAAAAAAAAAAAAAAUGAAACAUUACUCUAGGUCGUGAGCUCUAGGCUGUAAAUGGAAAAAGAAUGACUAUGGGUCAUAAAUGAAAAAUGACUCUAAGUCGUGAGCUCUGAGCUCUAAAUUGAAAAAAAAUGACAUUGGAUCAUAAUUGAAAAACGAGUUUGGGUCGUGAGCUCUAGGCUCUAAAUGGAAAAAGAAUGACUUUGGGUCAUAAAUGAAAAACAACUCUAGGUCGUGAGGUCUAGGCUCUGAAUGGAAAAAAAAUGAGUCUGGGUCAUAAAUGAAAAACGACUCUAGGUCGUGAGAUCUGGGCUCUAAAUGGAAAAGAAAAAUGACUUUUGGUCAUAAUUGAAAAACGAGUAUGGGUCAUAAGCUCUAGGCACUAAAUAGAAAAAACAAAUGACCAUGGGUUAUAAAUGAAAAAUGACUCCAGGUCGUGAGCUAUGACCUCUAAAUUAAAAAAAUGACUUUGUGUCAUAAAUGAAAAACAACUAUAGGUCGUGAGCACUUUGCUCUAAAUGGAAAAAAAAAUGAGAAAUGAAACAUUACUCUAGGUCGUGAGCUCUAGGCUGUAAAUGGAAAAAGAAUGACUAUGGGUCAUAAAUGAAAAAUGACUUUAGGUCGUGAGCUUUGGGCUUUAAAUGGGAAAAAAAAAAUGACUUUGUCAUAAAUGAAAAAUGACUCUAGGUCGUGAGCUCUGGGAUCUAAAAGGAAAAAAAAUGAUAAAUGAAAAACGACUCUGGGUUGUUAGCUCUAGGUUCUAAAUGGAAAAAGAAUGAGUUUGGGUCAUAAAUGAAAAACGACUCUUGGUCAUGAGCUCUGGGCUCUAAAUGGAAAAAAAUGACUCUAGGUCAUAAAUGAAAAACGACUCUCGGUCUUGAGCUCUAGGCUCUAUAUGGAAAAAAAAUGACUCUAGGUCAUAAAUGAAAAACAACUUUGGGUCAUGAGCUUUGGACUUUAAAUGGAAAAAAAUGACUUUGGGUUAGAAAUGAAAAUCGACUCUAGGUCGUGAGCUCUAGGCUCUAAAUGGAAAAAAAUGACUUUGGGCCAUAAAUGAAAAAUGACCCUGUGUCGUGAGCUUUUUGGUUUAAAUGGAAAAAAUAAUGACUUUGGGUGAUAAAUGAAAUACGAUUCUAGGUUGUGAGCUCUAGGCUCUAAAUGGAAAAAAAAUGACUCUGGGUCAUAAAUGAAAAAUGACUCUGAGUCGUGAGCUCUAGGCUUUAAAAGGCAAUAAAAUGACUUUGGGUCAUAAAUGAAAAACGACUCUAGGUCGUGAGUUCUAGCUUACUAAUGGAAAAAAAAAUGACUAUAGGUCGUGAGCUCUCGCCUCUAAAUGGAAAAAAAUGACUCUGGGUCAUAAAUGAAAACCGACUAUAGGUCAUGGAAAAAAUGAUAAAUGAAAAAUUACUUUAGGUUGUGAGCUCUAUGCUCUAAAUGGAAAAGGACUGACUCUGGGUCGUAAAUGAAAAAUGACUCUAGGUCGUGAGCUUUGGGUUCUAAAUGGAAAAAAAAAUUGAUAAAUGAAAACCGACUUUGGGUCAUGAGGUCUAGGUUCUAAAUGGAAAAAGAAUGACUUUGGGUCAUAAAUGAAAAACGACUCUUGGUCAUGAGCUUUGGGCUCUAAAUGGAAAAAAAAUCACUCUAGGUCAUAAAUGAAAAAUGACUCUCGGCUGUAAAUGGAAAAAAAUGACUUUGGGUCAUAAAUGAAAAAUGACUCUUGGUCAUGAACUCCAGGCUCUAAAUGGAAACAAAAUGACUCUGGGUCAUUAAUUAAAAACGACUCUAGGUCGUGAGCUCUGGGCUUUAAAUGGAAAAAAACGACUCUGGGUCGUGAGCUCUGGGCUCUAAAUGGAAAAAAAUGAUAAAUGAAAAAUGACUCUGGGUCGUGAGCUCUAGGCUCUAAAUGGAAAAAGAAUUAAUUUGGGUCAUAAAUGAAAAACAACUUUAGGUCGUAAGCACUAGGCUCUAAAUAGAAAAGAAAAUGACUCUCGAUCAUAAAUGUAACCCAACUCUAGGUCGUGAGGUUUAUGCUCUAAAUGGAAAAAACAAAUGACAUUGGGUCAUAAUUGAAAAAGGACUCUAGGUCGUGAGCUCUAGGCACUAAAUGGAAAAAAAAAAUGACUUUGGGUCAUAAAUGAAAAAUAACUCUAGAUCGUGAGCUCUAGCCUCUAAAUGGAAGAAAAUGACUCUGAGUCAUAAAUGAAAAACGACUAUAGGUCGUGAGCUCUGGGCUCUAAAUGGAAAAAAAAAUGACAUCAGAUCAUAAUUGAAAAAUGAGUCUGGGUCGUGAGCUCUAGGCACUAAAUGGAAAAAAACAAAUGACCCUGGGUCAAAAAUGAAAAAUGACUCUAGGUUGUGAGCUCUGGCCUCUAAAUGGAAAAAAUGACUCUAGGUCAUACAUGAAAAACGACUAUAGGUCGUGAGCUCUGGGCUCUAAAUGGAAAAAAAAUGAUAAAUGAAACAUUACUCUAGGUUGUGAGCUCUAGGCUGUAAAUGGAAAAAAAAUGACUAUGGGUCAUAAAUGAAAAAUGGCUCUAAGUCGUGAGCUUUGGGCUCUAAAUGGAAAAAAAAUGACAUUGGAUCAUAAUUGAAAAACGAGUUUGGGUCGUGAGCUCUAGGCACUAAAUGGAAAAAACAAAUGACCUUGGGUCAAAAAUGAAAAAUGACUUUAGGUCGUGACCUCUGGCCUCUAAAUGGAAAAAAAUGACUCUAGGUCAUAAAUGAAAAACGACUAUAGGUGAUGAGCUCUGGACUCUAAAUUGAAAAAAAAAUGAUAAAUGAAACAUUACUCUAGGUCGUGAGCUCUAGGCUAUAAAUGGAAAAACAAUGACUAUGGGUCAUAAAGAAAAAUGACUCUAAGUCGUGAACUUUGGGCUCUAAAUGGAAAAAUAAAAAUAAAAAUGACUUUGGGUCAUAAAUGAAAAAUGACUCUGGGUCGUGAGCUCUGGGAUCGAAAUGGAAAAAAAAAAUGAUAAAUGAAAAACGACUCUAGGUUGUGAGCUCUAGGCUCUAAAUGGAAAAAGAACGACUUUAGGUCAUAAAUGAAAAGCGAUUCUUGGUCAUGAGCUUUGGGCUCUAAAUUUAAAAACAUGACUCUAGGUCAUAAAUGAAAAAUGACUCUCGGUCUUGAGCUCUGGGCUUUAAAUGGAAAAAAAUGACUCUAGGUCAUAAAUGAAAAACGACUUUGGGUCCUGAGCUCUAGGCUCUAAAUGGAAAAAAAAUGACUCUGGGUCAUAAAUGAAAAAUGACUCUAGGUCGUGAGCUUUAGACUCUAAAUGGAAAAAAAUGACUUUGGGUUAGAAAUGAAAAGCGACUCUAGGUUGUGAGCUCUAGGCUUUAAAUGGUAAAAAAUGAGUCUGGGUCAUAAAUGAAAAACGACUCUAGGUCGUGAGCUUUACGCUCUAAAUGGAAAAAAAAAUGACUCUAGGUCAUAAAUGAAAAACGACUCUAGGUUAUGAGCUCUGGGCUAUAAAUGGAAAAAAAAAAAGGACUUUGUGUCAUAAAUGAAAAACGACUCUGAGUCGUGAGCUUUGGGCUCUAAAUGGAAAAAAAAUGACUCUAGGUCAUAAAUGAAAAACGACUCUAGGUCGUGAGUUCUAGCCUCUAAAUGGAAAAAAAAUGACUCUGGGUCAUAACUGAAAAACGACUCUAGGUCAUGAGCUCUGGGCUCUAAAUGGAAAAAAAAAAAUGACUUUGGGUCAUAAUUGAAAAACGACUCUGAGUCGUGAGCUUUAGGCGCUAAACGGAAAAAAAUAAAAAUAAAAAAUGGCUCUAGGUCAUAAAUGAAAAAUGACUCUAGGUCGUGAGCUCUGGCCUCUAAAUGGAAAAAAAUGACUUUGGGUCAUAAAUGAAAAAUGAUUAUAGGUCGUGAGCCUUGGGCUCUAAAUGAAAAAUUACUCUAGGUCAUGGGCUCUAGGCUCUAAAUGGAAAAAGAAUGACUAUGGGUAAUAAAUGAAAAAUGACUCUGGGUCAUGAGCUCUGGGCUUUAAAUGGAAGAAAAAAAAAUUACUCUUGGUUAUAAAUGAAAAAUGACUCAAGGUUGUGAGCUCUGGGCUCUAAAUGGAAAAGAAAUGAUAAAUUAAAAACAACUCUAGGUCGUGAGCUCUAGCUCUAAAUGGAAGAAGAAUGACUUUGGGUCAUAAAUAAAAAAUGACUCUUGGUUAUGAGCUCUGGGCUCUAAAUGGAAAAAAAUGACUCUUGGUCCUAAAUGAAAAAUGACUCUAGGUCGUGAGCUUUAGGCUCUAAAUGGAAAAAAAUUACUCUGGGUCAUAAAUGGAAAAGGACUCUAGGUCAUGAGCUCCGGGCUCUAAAUGGAAAAAAAAAGACUUUGGGUCAUAAAUAAAAAAUGACUCUGGGUCGUGAGCUCUAGGCUCUAAAUGGAAAAAAAAUGACUCUGGGUCAUAAAUAAAAAACGACUUUGGGUCAUGAGCUAUGGGCUCUAAAUGGAAAAAAAAAUGAUAAAUGAAAAACAACUCUUGAUCGUGAGCUCGGGGCUCUAAAUGGAAAAAAAAUGACUCUGUGUCAUAAAUGAAAAACGACUCUGGGUCGUGAGCUAUGGGCCCUAAAUGGGAAAAAAAAAAAAUAAAUGAAAAACGACUUUGGGUCGUGACCUCUAGGCUCUAAGUGGAAAAAGAAUGACUUUGGGUCAUAAAAAAAAAAUGACUCUUGGUUAUGAGCUCUGGGCUCUAAAUGGAAAAAAAUGACUCUUGGUCCUAAAUGAAAAACGACUCUAGGUCGUGAGGUUUAGGCUCUAAAUGGAAAAAAAUUACUCUGGGUCAUAAAUGAAAAAGGACUCUAGGUCAUGAGCUCUGGGCUCUAAAUGGAAAAAAAAAUGACUUUGGGUCAUAAAUGAAAAACGACUCUAGGUCGUGAGCUCUAGGCUCUAAAUGGAAAAAAAAUGACUCUGGGUCAUAAAUAAAAAACGACUCUGGGUCAUGACCUAUGGGCUCUAAAUGGAAAAAAAAUGAUAAAUGAAAAACAACUCUUGGUCGUGAGCUCGAGGCUCUAAAUGGAAAAAAAAAUGACUCUAUGUCAUAAAUGAAAAACGACUCUGGGUCGUGAGCUAUGGGCUCUAAAUGGAAAAAAAAAUGAUAAAUGAAAAACGACUUUGGGUCGUGACCUCUAGGCUCUAAGUGGAAAAAGAAUGACUUUGGGUCAUAAAUGAAAAAAGACUCUAGGUUGUGGGCUUUGGGCUCUAAAUGGAAAAAAAAAAAAAAGUCUUUUGGUCAUAAAUGAAAAGCUAUUCUGGAUCGUGAGCUCUGGGCUCUAAAUGGAAAAAAAAAUGACUCUAGGGUGUGAGCUCUUAGCUCUAAAUAGAAAAUAAAUGACUCUAGGUCAUAAAUGAAAAACGACUCUGAGUCGUGAGCUUUGGGCUGUAAAUGGAAAAAAAUGACUCUGGGUCAUAAAUGAAAAACAACUCUAGGUUGUGAGUUCUAACCUUUAAAUGGAAAAAAAAAAAAAAAAGGCUUUGGGUCAUAAAUGAAAAAUGACUCUUGGUCGUGAGCUUUGGGCUCUGAAUGGAAAAAAAACAUGACUUUUUGGUCAUAAUUGAAAAACGACUCUGGGUCAUGAGCUCUAGGCACUAAAUGGAAAAAAAAAUGACUUUGGGUCAUAAAUGAAAAAUGACUCUAGGUCGUGAGCUCUGGCCUCUAAAUGGAAAAAAAUGACUCUAGGUCAUAAAUGAAAAAUGACAAUAGGUCGUGAGCUCUAAGCUCUAAAUGGAAAAAAAAUGAUAAAUGAAAAAUUACUCUAGGUCGUGAGCUUUAGGCUCUAAAUGGAAAAAGAAUGACUAUGGGUCAUAAAUGAAAAAUGACUCUAGGCUCUAAAUGGAAAAAAAAAUGAUUGUGGGUCAAAAAUGAAAAAUGACUCUUGGUCGUGAGCUUUGGGCUCUAAAUGGAAAAAGAAUGACUUUGGGUCAUAAAUGAAAAACAACUCUUGGUCAUGAGCUCUAAGCUCUAAAUGGAAAAAAAUGACUCUAAGUCAUAAAUGAAAAAUGACUCUGGGUCGUGAACUCUGGGCUCUAAAUGGAAAAAAAUGACUUAGGGUCAUAAAUGAAAAACGACUCUAGGUGAUUACUACUCAAAAAGUGCUAUUUGAUAGCUUGUAAUAAAAUCUUUUAAACACUUUUGAGUAGUAGUUGUCACCUUUUAACCCAAUUAACAUGUUAAGGACCCUUGCAAUCAAUUCUAAUCAAAUUGUGUUAAGUUUUGGUGUUUUGAUGGCUUUUGUAUCACCAAAGCAAUCCAAGAUUGAGGAGAGUUCUUUGGAAUCCUUAAUCAAAUCCAGAAUACAAGGAGUAUGGGAUCCUGUACAUUUAUACCCGGGUGCCGCCAGCUUUAUACCCGGGUGCCGCCAGCUUUAUACCCGGGUGCCAAAAGCUUUGCACCUCGGUUGCCGCCAUUUAUACCCGGCUACCGCCGCUUCCACCCGGACGUAUUACAUCCAGAAAUCUUCCACCCCAGAUGUAUUGCAUCCGGAAUUCUGACGCUGGGUGGAAGAGGAGAGCGUUUCAACUUCCACGAUCAGACGUAUCCGGAUCCACCGAUAGCGCUCACCCGGAGGAUUUCGCAGCAAUUUUGCACAGUGCCGCAGUGUUCUCCUGAAGUUUCCUAAUAUGUGCGACAGACAUCUUCAGAUAUUUAUCUUUAGAUAUUUUUCUUUAGAUAUUUACCUUUAGAUAUUUUUCUUUAGAUAUUUUGUUUUAGAUAUUUGAUGUCUACAUCCCCAAACUCUCCUUGUAACCCACCUAUCAUAGGAUUCCUUAGUCUUUAAGUAAGUAAAAAAGGGGUGAAUAACAUGAUUUAUAUAUAAUUUGUAUUUUUCUUUAGGAGAUAUCAUGUAAUUAGUAGGAAAAAGAAAUAGAAUUCACCAAACACUUGCUCUGUUUUUCCUUGAUAUAAUUGUUUUCUUGUUAGUUUUCUUACUAGCCAAACAAGCUUUGAGGAAGUUUUCUCAGAGAAUGAGUGGCUAGACUUUUAGUUCCUUGGAGUUAAGGUUGCUGGGAAAGGUUCCAAGUACAAGGAUUAGUAGCUUUGUGGUUUCAGUCAUUAAUGAAGAGAAAGUGUGAUCCUUUAAUGAUUUCUAUGUUUUUAGUUAACUUAAAACGCUUUCAAUUCACUUGAGCCAACACUUGGUAAAGCAAGUGAUCUCUGUCCAUGGAGAUGCACUAGUGUAUCUCUUGUGAGCUUUUGGGAAGUGACUUGAAGGUAGGAUUUUCUAGAAUUGCCAACACUUGGUAAGCUUUUUGGACUCCAAGGAGACAUCCAUUAGUUAUCUCUUACGAGCUUGAGAAGGGAAGUCCAAAGUUAAAGAUCACCUUGAAUGGUAAAUGCUUGGUGAGAGGCACGAGCCAUUGCAAGUUGCAUUAGUGAGAGGGAAUUAGAGCUGAAAUCCAUUUAAAGGAUACAUCUGUACAACACCGGUUAGAGAAUUGACUAUAUGUUAAUUCUCUAAUGCGAGGAAAUGAACCAAAUGACUGGAGCUCUGUUUUUGCAUGAGGAAUCUCCCCUGUGAACCCAAACCUCCAAGGAAUGUUUUUCUUCAUAAAUAAUUUCCAUUACUUUCUUUUUAGUUAGCUUAACACAAAACCUUUUUCAGCCAAAGUUUAUGUUUUCUUCUUAAGCUAACCUUGAAAUGAAAAAGUACCAAUUUAACUUUGAAUUAGUAUCAGUUGUAAGUUGAAAACCCCUCCCAGUGAACGAUCUUAGAGCCACUAUGCUAUAGUAGCUUUGUCUUUGCUACCCUAGUUCAUGGUGUAAUAGGUUAUAAAUUUUGUUGAUUAGUCCCUGAGGACCAAAAUCAAGGGACACCAGCUGGACAUGAAUCAGCUGAUACACAGACUGGGCACGAAUCACUAGGUCAUGAGUUCUAGGCUCUAAAUGGAAAAAAAUGACUCUGGGUCAUAAAUGAAAAAUGACUCUAGGUCGUGAGCUUUGGGCCCUAAAUGGAAAAAAAAAAAAAAAACGACUCUGAGUCAUAAAUGAAAAACGACUCUAGGUCGUGAGCUCUAGGUUCUAAAUGGAAAAAAAAUAAUAAAUGAAAAACGACUCUGGGUCGUGAGCUCUAGGCUUUAAAUGGAAAAAGAAUGACUUUGGGUCAUAAAUGAAAAAUGACUCUGGGUCGUGAGCUCUGGGCUCUAAAUGGAAAAAAAAUGACUUUGGGUUAUAAAUGAAAAACGAGUCUUGCUCGUGAGCUCUGGGCUUUAAAUGGAAAAAAAAUGACUUUGGGUCAUAAAUGAAAAUUGACUCUAGGUUGUGAGCUCUAGGCUCUAAAUGGAAAAAAAUGACUCUGGAUCAUAAAUGAAAAACGACUCUAGGUCAUGAGCUCUUGGCUCUAAAUGGAAAAUAAAUGGCUCUGGGUCAUAAAUGAAAAACGAUUCUGGGUCGUGAGCUUUGGGCUUUAAAUGGAAAAAAAAUGACUCUAGGUCAUAAAUGAGAAACGACUAUAGGUCAUGAGCUCUAGACUCUAAAUAGAAAAGAAAUGACUUUGGGUCAUAAAUGAAAAAUGACUCUAGGUCAUGAGCUUUGGGCUUUAAAUGGAAAAAUUGACUCUAAGUUAUAAAUUAGAAAAAAAAAAUGACUCUAGGUCGUGAGCUCUAAGCUCUAAAUGGAAAAGAAAUGACUCUGGGUCGUGAGCUUUGGGCUCUAAAUGGAAAAAAAUGAAUCUGGGUCAUAAAUGAAAAAUGACUUUGGGUCGUGAACUUUGGCUCUAAAUGGAAAAAAAUGACUCUAGGUUGUGAGAGAUGAUAUAUCGGAAAAUUUCAUAGACUAAAUCUCGAAGUGUAUACAUCGCAACUCAUCUAAAAACAAAUCUUAAAGUACACAAGAUACUGCUCAUCUGGAUAACCCGAUCUGUAAUGUAAAUUUGAUGGAAACAAACUAUCACAUAAACACCCAACUAAAGAACCCAUCAAUGCUCCUCAGGUGAAACCUAAUGCGAUUCAUCUCUAUCUCAACAAGACCAUGUAUGAAGGCCCUGAUAUCAUAAAUCAUUGAAAGUCCCUGACUAAUGCUCAAACUGAAAUCAAACUAGUAGCCACCCCAAUCCCAAGUAUACUUAGAGAAAAUGGGGAAAUAUGCCCAGUAUAAGAUCUGAUGUUAAAGUCACGAGGUAAAUAACCAAUUCCUAUCAUCUAUCCUCGUACUACCGCCUAAUCAAACCUCAUCGAUAAGAAAGGGAAUAUGUCCCAGUAUGGAUAUCUAGUACACAACGAAGAAUAUGACAUCGCCAGCCAAACAUCUGUCAUCGUCAAUCAACCAUCUACUAACAUCAAUCAAACAUCUCAAUAAUCAAGAUCAAGGAUAGCCAUAAAACCCAACCACGACUAAGGAUCUCAGAGCAAAGGGGAAAUAUGCCCCAAUGUGGAUAUCUGAUGCACAACAAAAUGAUGAAUCCAAUAUCAUCAAUAGACUAUCUCCAAACUCAAAAAUCCAUCAAACAUUGAUAUACCAAGUAGGAGAGAGAAACCAAAUGCUUCCAAAAGUAUUUCCCAUAAGAGAAAACAUAGUAACGACUAUACUUCAACCAAUCCACAAAAGCCCGUCCAAGUGAAAACUGUCAAAAAUAACAUCUGAUCUCAUGGCCUCAAGGUGGUCUUAAGAUGUGGGAUGUAAUGUAGGCUAGGGUGAAAAGGCAAAGAAAUGAAAGAAAACUAGGCUCAAAUACCCAAUAAUCAAACCCAUACCCUGGUGCAUAACGUAUAACGCAUAGGAGAAUCUCAUGAGAAUGUGAACUUAAAAGGAGUCAAUGGGAAUGUUGAUGGUGAAAUGAGAAAAGAUAAGAAAUGGUCAAGCCAUCAGCAAAUUAUGUAAAUGGUGUGAAGAAAGGUGUCGAAUCGAGAAGGUGUAUAGGUGUUGGAAUGAGAUGAAAAAAAGAAUAAAUAGUAAGAAAGAAAUUAUGGGAAAUCAAAUGAAGGUAGUGAGAAAGUAAAAAUGAAUGAUGAGCAAUGCAUAUCAAUACAGCAAAGGUAAAUCAUAUCACCCAUGAUGGAGUAGUAGAGAAGACACUGAUUCAGAGAUCUUAGUGAAAAGUUACUCAACUCUCAUUCCUAUAAAGUACAAAAACUCUGAUCCAAGAAACAAAGGAUCUCACAAAACUAAAAAAUCUCAUGAAAAACCUGAUUCGUGCCCAAUUGGUGUCUCAGCUGAUUCAUGUCCAGCUGGUGCUCCUUGAUUGAGAGAGUAACCAACAAAAUUUAUAACCUAUUACACCAUAUACUAAGGUAGCAAAGACAAAGCUACUAUAGCAUAGUGGCUCUAGGAUCGUUCACUGGGAUGGGUUUUCACUUUGCAAAUGAUAUUAAUUCAAAGCUGAAUUGGUGCCUUUUCAUUUCAAGGUUAGCUUUAAAAGAAAACAUAAAGAUGUUUGAAUGAAAAAGGUUUAGAUUUAAACUAACCAAAAAUAGUAACUGAUUUUACUUACAAAGAAAAGUGUUUCUUGGAGUUUCAGAUCACUAGGCUCAGAUUCCUCAUACAAAAAGGGAGUUCCGGUCACUUGUUUCUUUUCCUCGCAUUAGAGAAUUAACAUAUAGUUUCUUCUCCAACCGGUGUUGUACUCACUGAUGCACCUUGCAAUGGCUCAUGCCUCUCACCUAGCACUUGCCAUUCAAGGUGAUCUUUAACCUUGGAUUACCCUUCAAAAGCUCGCAAGAGAUAACUAAUGGAUGUCUCCUUGGAGUCCAAAAGCUUACUAAGUGUUGGUUAUUCUAGAAAAUCCUACCUUCAAACCACUUCCCAAAGGCUCGCAAGAGAUAAACUAGUGAAUCUCCACGGACGAAGAUCAUUUGUCUUACCAAGUGUUGGCCCAGGUGAUUUAAAGGCGUUUUAAGUUAACUAAAAAGAUAAAAACCAUUAACGGGUUACACUUUCUCUUCAUUAAAAACUAAAACAACAAAACUUCCAAAUUAUGCAUGUGGAAACUUACCCGGAUUUCCUCACUCCAAGAGACAAAGAGCCUAGCCUCUCAUCCUCUGAGGAAAAAUUAUCAGAGUUUGGUUGGCUAGAAAAUGAAAAUGAAAGAGAAGGAAAAAAUAGAGCAAGGCUCUGUAUAUUCUAUAUAUUUAUAAAUCUAUCUAUAUCCCGUUGGAUUACAUGAUGAUCUAUAUCUAUUACAGUGGAUGCAAGGGAAUAUAUAUAGAGACGUUUUUCCAACCUUCCUAACUAAGAAAUCUUAUGGUUGGUGGAUUACAAGGAGAAGAAUGGAAAUUUAUACAAAAAUAUCUGAAGAAAAAUAUCUCAAAGUGUCAGUCGCAACUAUCGGGAAGCUUCAGGAGAACACCCGUGCACUGUGCAAAAUGGCUGCGGAAUUCUCGCAGCAAAAGACUGAUCUCGCAGUCGUGCAAAAAUCUUCCUUCAGCUUGGAGUGAUCUUCUUGAAAUGGCUGUAACUCCUUCGUUUCAAUUCAGAAUCGCACACCGUUUGAAGAAUUGGAUUCUUGACUUCCUGAGCUUUGAAAUGGUAUAUAGCAAGUAGAAAAUGGACAUCGGUAAGUGCUCCAAAAGUUCGAAAGACGACUGCAGCUGCUGUCCUCUAUUUUCUUCACUCUGUUUUUCCUCUCUCCGUUGUUCUUUCCUUGCAUACUUUGAACGACUUUGGCAAAGGGCUAUGGAGCUCCAAAGCUUGGUUCUUCAUGAAUUUGAGCUUUCCAUUGCUUUGCCAUGGAUUCCAAAUAACUCUCCUCAAUCUCAUAUUGCUUUGGUGAUCAAAAAGCUAUCAAAACACCAAAACUUAACACAAUUUGAUUAGAAACGAUUGCAAGGGUCCUUAACAUGUCAAUUGAGUUAAAAGGUAAUAAUUACUACUCAAGAGUGUUUAAAAGAGUUAAUUACAAGCUAUGAAAUAGCACUUUUUGAGUAGUAAUCAAAACCCUCAUCAUUCCAACUGCAUAAUGAAAGUGACUCAAGAAGUGAAAAGUCCUCAUGGAAAACUCGCACAAGCCCUCGAUGAUAAACCCAAUAAACCCUGAAAUAACAACAUAUGCUCAAUGGAGUAGGAUAUCAAGUACAAACAUAUCAUUGCUUUUUUUUUUUAGUAUGUUUUUGUUUUUGUUUUUUGUUUUUUGUUUUUUUUUUGUUUUUUUUUUUUGUGUAUGCGCAUACCUUGGUCAUCAAUAAAUCAUACUCCAAUGAGAAACUACAAGGAAUGAAUAAGCUCUCUCAAAUCACUAAUGAACACAUGAAACCUUAUCCCAUGAGACAACCUCUCAAGCUAAAAUCUCUAAAUCAAUGUCAAAUGAUGGAAUGAAGGGAGUAGUACGACUACCUUAUAUGCAUCAAUAUGUGAAGAAUCAUCAUUUCAAGUGAAGAAAAUAUGACAUGUAGCAACCGAUGAUAAAAAUCAGGAUUAAGGUGAAAAUGUGAAAAUAAUGGAAUGUAACAGAUGGGAUGGUGAGGUGAUAAUAGCAAAGAUGAGGAAGAUAAGCCUAUAAGUCCAAAGCUCAUGAGACUUUCCUAGCAAAGUGUAACUAUACAUCAAAGGGUUCCAACUCGGGUAUAUAAAUGAUAAGCAGGGCUAUAGAAAAGAGAAGGCUACAAUAUAUCAUAUGAGGCUCAAUGGGCUAGCAACGGUCUAAUAUAUCAAUAAAGGUGGUAAGGUGUAAGGCUAACCGAAAUGAUGGUCACCCAUCCUAUGACCAUAAUCUCAAACAUAGAGUACUUCUUCAGCUGAUCCACAUUGGUACGCUCUGAAAACUGGUUUCCAUCUAAGUCAAUCAACCAUGCAGCUCCUUUUGGAGUCAACUCUCAAAUAACAUAAGGCCCACUCCAACUAGGUCUAAACUUCCCUCUAGGGUCUCCAACUAAACCUUUUAGAAUCCUCCAAACCAAAUCCCCCUUCUGUAAUGGUCUAGGCUUAACCCAUUUCCUAAAAGCACGAGUCAUCCUUCUCUAAUAGGCUUGAACAUGAUCCGCUACUCUCAAUCUCAUCUCAUCUAAAAAGUUAAGCUGAUCAAAUCGAGCCUAGGCUUACUCUGUCUUAGAAACCUACUGCUCAAGAACUACUCUUAAUGAACCCAUAUGCGUCUCGACUGGCAAAACAACAUCCAUCUAUCGUUCUCAAAAUCUUCUUAAUCUUCUUAUUUACGACCUCUACUGCAUCUUUAGUCUAUGGCCUGUAUGCAGAAGAUUUAUGAUGUCAGAUGCUAUAUUUCUGCAAUAAAGUGUCAACCUCAACUCGAAAAUGUACCCCUUUGUUUGAAAUCAACUCAUAUGGCAUCCUAUAACGACAGAUGAUGUGUGACCUGAUAAAACUGGCGACUCUAGCAAAUGUCAACCUCACAUAUGAUGCAGCUUCCACCCACUUGGUGAAAUAAUCUAUGGCAACUAGGAUAAACUCAUGACCAUUGGAAGAUUUUGGCGAGAUCUUCCCAAUAAUAUCAAUACCCCAAACUGAAAAUGGUCAUGGCAAGGUCAAAGCGUGUAACUAUGAUGGUGGUGCAUGAAUGAGAUCACUAUGAAUCUGACAUUCUGGGCAUUUUUGGACAAACUGACAACAAUCUAUCUCCAUAGUCAUCCAGAAGUAACUUAUCCUCAUAAUCUUACGGGCUAGCAUGUGUCCUCCCAUGUGUGGACCACAAACUCCUACAUGAACCUCUCUCAUCACUCGAUCUGCAGAGGCUCGAUCUAAACAUAAUAGAAGCAUACCAUCAGUUGAUCCCCUAUAUAGGGUCUCUCCGCAAAUAAAAAAUCUAGCACUCAAUUUCCUCAGUGCCCUCCGAUCCUUGGUUGUGGCAGCCUCUAGGUAUGUGCCCGAUCUAAAAAACUAAUAAAUUUUAUGAUACUAAGGUAGAUCAUCCUGGACCUUUGUCUUUCCAAUCAGACAACAGUAAGCGGGUGCAAACCUCGACUCAAUCAGCAAUGAAUGUAUAACCACAUCAGCCGAAAAGUCCACAGAAGAAGCUAAGGUAGUUGUGGCAUCAAUAAACCAGUUUUACACUCUAAGCAGAUAAGUGUAUCUCAAGUCAUCAAAUCUCCCAACUAGUAGCUCUAAAUAAGCAUGAUACAACCUAAGCUUUACAUCCCUAGUUCUCCAAUCUCCCUGAAUCUGUUUUAGUAUUAGAUUGGAGUCACCAAACAUCUCCAUCUGUCUAAUGUCCAGCUCCAAUGCAGUCUCUAGACCGAGGAUACAUGUCUCAUACUCAGCAAUGUUGUUCGUGAUGGGAUGUCAAUUCGAAAACGCCAAAUGAACUCACCUCAGAAUAUGAUCACCCUAAGGGGAUAUCAACAAAACACCUAUCCCACACCCUGAGUGGUUGGCUACACCAUCGAAGUACAUGCGCCAACAUGAUAAGCUAGUCAUAACAAUAAACUCCUCAUCUGGAAAAUCAUCAUUAACUGGUCUACCCUCAGAUAUCGGUAAUAAAGCUAAGUGAUCGACGAUAAUGCUUCCCUUAAUUGACUUCUGAGAAACAUACCGAAUAUCAAACUCUGUCAAAAGUACGGGCCAUCUCAUCAAUCUACCAGUCAAUGCGGGUAUGUCAAACAAGUACCUUAACGGAUCUAGUCGACAAAUCAAGUGCACUGAAUACUCUGUCAUGUGAUGCUUCAAUCUCUUGGUGGCCCAAACUAAUGCUAAGUAGAGGUGCUUAAUCACGACAUAUCUCAUCUCAUUAUCCAGCAUCCUCUUACUCAAAUAGUAAAUAGCCCACUUUUUCCCUGAAUCAUCAAGCUGAGCUAACAUACAUCCCAAGGCCAUGUCUAAAAUUGACAAAUACAAAAGAAGUGGACGUCUUGACAUGGGAGGCACUAAAACAGGAGGAGAAAGCAAGUACUCCUUGAUCUUCUCGAAUGUAAUAUGGCAAUCAUCAUUCCAAAUUGUUAGUUGGUUCUUCCUCAAGAGACGAAAGAUGGGCUCACAUAUGUCUGUCAAUCUAGCUAUGAAUCUACCAAUAUAUUGUAACCUACCCAGAAAACCCCUAAUCUCUUUCUCAGUUCUCGACACAGGCAUACCAAGUAUGGCUUUGAUCUUAUUUAGAUCAACCUUUAUGCCCCGCUCACUAACCAUAUGCCUCAACAAUUUCCCAAAAGUCACUCCAAAGGUGCACUUCUUGGGAUUCACCCUCAAUCUAAAUUUCCAAAUCCUCUCAAAGAAUUUUUUUAGAGUCGCUAGGUGAUAUGUUUUGUCUAGAGAUUUCACAAUCAUAUCAUUCACAUAAGCUUCCACAUCAUUAUGCAUCAUGUCAUGAAACAAAGUAGUAGCAGCCCUCUGAUAAGUGGCUCCUGCAUUCUUCAACCCAAAUAGCAUAACUCUGCAACAAUAGGUACUACACUCAAUAAUAAAGGUUGUCUUUUCCAUAUCCUCUAGAGCCAUCAAAAUCUGAUUAUACUCGAAAAACCCAUCCAUGAAAGACAACAUCAAAUGGCUUGCAAUGCUAUCGACCAGCAAAUCAAUAUGUGGGAGAGGAAAGUCAUCCUUAAGGUUGGCUUUAUUAAGGUCUUUAAAGUCAACACAAACUGUAACUUUGCCAUCCUUUUUGGGAAUAGGGAUAACAUUAGCCAACCACUUUGGAUACUCGACCACUGAUAUCAAUCCAACACUGAGCUGUUUCUAAAUCUCCUUUUUCACCUGUAGACUCCAAUGUGGGUGCAGUCACCUCAAUUUCUGUUUAACUAGUCUGACAUGUGGUAAGAUAGGCAAAUGGUGUUGGACUAUGGAGGGAUCAAGACCCGGCAUGUCCUCAUAAGACCAUGCAAAGACAUCCAAGUAUGACCUAAGUAAAUGAAUAAGUCUAUCCAUCUCGUCUAUUGACAAGGGUGAACCAAUCUUCAGCUUUCUAGGCUGAUCCUCUAUGCCAAAAUCAACAAUCUCAACGUCCCCUAUAGCAGGUGAAACUCUUUCAUCUAUGGGAUCUAAGUCAUGAUUAAAAGAUUCUCAAUCUGAAUCGAGCUGUGCAAUCUCAUCAUCUAUAUCAAAUAUUUGUGGAGUGGGUGAGUAGGGUGCAGAUAUAUAAAUACUAUCACAAGAGAUAGGAAAAUAUUCAAAAAAUACUCAAAUCUAUAGAUACAGAAUCGUAAACAUCGUCAGAACAGGAAAUGAAUCCCGAUAAAAUGUCAAAUGAAAGAGGUGGGUCCACAAAGUCGGACGCUCCCUCAAUAGAGCUAAAAGUGUCCUCAAAAAAAUCAUCACCAACUGUAACAUCCUCCAUAAGCUCUGGAGUGAGAACUAUUUGGAUCUCCUCGACAACCUCGAUAACAGACAUCCUGAACAAAUCGAAUGGUGAAGCAGGCUCAGGUUGAACCAUCUCAACAAUCUGACUCAUACUCAUCAUAUCCAUCUCAUCCCGAUACUCAUCACGAGGAACAACUCCAUCAGUUACCCCAGUAGGCUCAACGACUAUUCAUAAUCGGUAGUCUCCUCUGGAAAGCAUAAAGAUAAGAAGCUGGCUUGAUCUGGUGAUGAAUGAGCAAACAUCACUGAAACUGGUGCGCCAGAAGUCUCAUCUCCUAACUAUAAAUGGUGAAAUUGACGCUGAAGCUCAUCCACUCCAUCUAUAUCAGUCACAGUGCCAAAAUCCCCCAUAUGAGGAUGAACCUCUGAUCCUCUAACGAAGUAGUUGCCAAACUCAUCCUAUAAGGACGAACGGGAUAAUUGAAUGGUGUGCAAGUCAGACAGGCUCUCACUCUCUCCCUGUGCAAUUGCACUAUAUACCUAUAGUCAACCUCUAUAGGAACAAAGCCAAGCCUAAAUGGUGUAUCGUGAUUGACAGUAGCUACAAACUCCAUAGGCUCAUGUUGUCGUUGUCUUAACCCCAUGCCAGGCAUAAAAGACAUACCCCUCAUCAUGUCAAGUACCACCAUACUACUAUACUGAUCGAAUGACAUAGCUACGAAAUCUCUGCAGAAGUCCUCAACCUCAAGAGUUUGAACCUCAUCAAAUGUAAACCCUGUUAAAAAUAGGUCAUCCUCACUAUGACUGAUCUGAAGCACUAACUCAGAAGAGGCAAACAUAUUUCUAAGAGAUUGUACCAUGAUGACUUUCCUGUCAUGUAUAAACUUCACCUUCUGAUGAAGGGAAGAUGGAAUAACCUCGGCCCUAUAAAUCCAAGGUCGGCCUAGUAGCAGGUUAAAGGACGUGGGAAUCCUCAAAACCUGGAAUAGGGUGGGGAAUGUAGUCGGACCAAUCAACAACUCCAUUAUCAAAGUACCCAUGACCUCCCUCUUAGUACUGUCAUAUGCUCUGACUGUCUAUGUAGAGGGACCAAAUUCUGAAGGUGCAUAACUAAGGGCAAUAGUAGUAGCCAAUGGGCAGACGUUCAAGGCCGAGCCAUUGUCCAACAGGACGAAUGGAAUUGUAUGGCUUGAACAACCAACUAUGAUAUAUAGAGGGCGUGUAUGGUCUGAACCCUCAGGUGGCAAGUCAUUGUCUGAAAACACAAUACAUGUGGCCAUGUCGGCCGUCAUCAUAUGAAUCAACCCCUCUAGAGUAGUGGAGGUCUCAAAGUGGAUCUGGCUCAAAGCCCGAAUCAAUGCAUCUCCAUGAGUACUAGAAGAUGCUAGCAAACUCCAAAUGGAUAUGCGUGCCUAUGUACUCUAUAACUGCCUCAACAACUCAUCAUCCUCUCUCCUAACCUCCUCAUGAGAGGCUGUACCAUCAAAUGACCUAGCUAUUAGAGGCAAGGGCUAAACUAAUCUCCCAUUGCAGGUCACAAUCUGUAUAUCUCUCCCCUAUGAAUCAUCAUCCUCUAGCCAUAAGAUAAAUGGGAUAGGUGGGCUCUGACGUGCUGUAUCCAAAGGUGUAGUAAGAGUCAACUCAAACGGUACCCAAUUUGAAAUCAAACUGAAUGGUGCAUAAGUCUGAGAACCCACUAUAUCAACCUCAUAACCAUCAUCCAAAACAAUCGGCUCUAGAAAUCCAUCGUCCCAACUCAACAUGUGUAUGCUAUCAUCCUCAACAAAAUCUAUGUGAUGGAUAUCGCCCGGGGGUGCUGGUACUGCAUGCGUAGAGUGAGUUGGUAGAGGGUUUGUGGUUACACUUGGCUGCCCCAAGUUAACCAGACCCUGAUCUAUCAAGUCCUGUAUAGCGUGUCUCAGAGCAGUGCAAUGGUUCGUGUCAUGCCUUGGACCCUAAUGGUAGGAACAAUGCAGAUCCAUCCUGAAGUGAGGUAGCACUGGUUGGGGUACGGGCUUAGGAGCUAACUGAGUCAACAAACCACUCUCCAUGAGCUUUUAGAAAGCUCGGCUCAAAGGCAUACCUAGUUGGGAAAACUGUCGUGUCGGCCUCUGUACAAGAGAAAUAGUAAUAUGUGGGGCUCAGGGUCGAGAGUAUAAGGUAGAAGGUUUCUCUGAGACAUGUGCAGCAAAAACAGGCUCUAGGGUCGGGUGUAGGUAUGUAGGAGUCAUGGGCCUAGGCGGUCUAUACUGAACAUAACGCUAUGGGUGAUAGGCUCUUGAAGUCUGCCCAACUAUCUGAUAGCGCCUAGGAGAUCUCGAUCCUACUGAACUGAUAGUACCCACAUCUUCUGGUCUCUGUCCUCUUGAGGGCUUCUUCCCCUUUGAAUCAGAAGGGAAAGACUCGAGCCAAAAUCCUCUAGUAAUGCCCUCAUCUAUACCAUACAAAGUCUAUACCAAGGAUCCAAAAUCUGUAUGAGGAAAUCCCAUCAAAUGUCUGGCAAAUCUAGGUUGUAAGCUCUUCAAAAUCAUACUAAUCUAAUCCUUCUCUAAAGAACGAUCAACAAUCUGUGCAAUCUUCUUCGUCUAUCGGGAGAUAAACGAAGUCACCGACUCCUCUGGUUCCUGUCUCAAGGCCUCUAGCUUUCUCCUCGAGACAUCAAUGACAGUGUUAAACACGAGCUGUCUUAAAAACUCUUAGGACAAAUCAUCCCCAAGUCCUACAACGUGAAGCAUUUAAGGAAGCAAACCAACACUGUGCUACGCCACUUAAGGACAUGGGGAAAAGCAUAAUCAAUUGAGCCUCAUCUAACCCAUGAGCCCUCAUCACAAUACUGUACAACCUAAAAUGAAUCUUAGGGCAACCUAUGCCUGUAUACCUUUCAAUCUCUACCAUCUUAAACUGGGCCGGUAAAUUGGCCACCGGUGCUCCAUCAAAAUCAUCCCAACUGAUGGAUCUAUCUGAAAUCCUCAUAUGUCUCAUCCUUUGCUCAAGUCUAUCCAUACAAGCAUGUGCAUCCUCUGAGGCCAGAAUUGGUGCUACGACAUGAAGUGGGGUAACAUCAGUUUGACUAUGCUAAACAUAUGGUGUAGGGUGUGGAACCGACUGACUAAGUGGAGGGAUUGGUGGUACCAUAGGGUCAUACUAUAGGCUAUCCUGAGGUGGGACCUAUUGGGUCUGCUGCCCAUCUAUCUUCUGGCCGAGGCUGGCUAUAGCCUCCUAAAUCGAAGCCAUGGUUGCGGCAAACUUGUCAAUAGUGACUACCCGUGAGUCCAUAUCUCUCUUAUCUAAUCUCUAGUCUGGCUGAUCUGAUGCUUUGGUUAACUUGCCUCUAACUCUAGUCCACGAAGGUGAAUCCAGAUUGAGCAUGAAAAUACUCCUAUAAACACAAAGACACUGGAUGAGAAGUUGAACAGGGUAGCUCUGUAGGAACCGACUAAAAGGUAUUCAAGCAUAUAACUGAGGUAUACUCAAACCGAUACUCAUGUUUAAUCACACCCAAAAUGAGACUAUGGAGAGGGUAUCAGAACCCAACUGUGACCAAGGCAGCUCAAAAGGUCCACAGAUGUGCCCACAUGUAGGAAUAAAAUCUUAAUUGGGUUUAGGAUAACCUACAAGGUUGAGGUGACUCUAUAAGAUAAAAUGGGUGAGUUAAAGGAUCCCUAGCAAAAAUGAUCGUACCCUCCGGCGGUAUGCAAUCCUCUACACGCCUCAAGGGAGAUGGCGUGCUUCCAUGCAAGGUGGUCAUCACCUCCACACAUGCACUUUCUCGCGUUCCCAGGGGGUUUCUUAAUGGUGAAGGCUCUCUCUUAUCUCAAAACUCAAGGAUAAUCUAAAGUGCAUAAUGAAGGAUGUGGGUGCAUCCGAAAAACCUAAGAUCUAAAGUGAGAAGGUAAACAUAGACAAGCAAGCAUACGUCAGGCAAGUGAAAGGGUUGUCAUGCAACAAACAAUCAUGUAACAAGCAGUCAUGCGAAGUAGAUAAAUAUCAAAUAGUCAAAGUCCUAUCUAUCAUAUGUGAGAGUGAAUCAUGCUAGAGUGAACAAAGCAAUCAAGUGAUCAUUCAAGGCAAUCAAGCAUGUUAAGAUAGCAAGCAAAUAAAAUCACCUUGCCUAAAAAAUGAGGUACCCUCUAAUCGACCAAUUAAACUCCAUAUUUUCCUCAACUAGUGUUCAAGCUUGAUCCUCAAAAUCCCUAAUGGAGUCUCUAAUUUGUGGACCCGUAUUUUUAGCGUGCGUCCCCACUCAAUUGGCGAGACUCGCUUUUAUUGGUGAAAAAUAAAUUUUGGAAAAGUCUAAGUCACCACUUAUUUAUUUUUAUUUUAAAGGGAAAAUAAAACAAGAAAGAAAACCCUAAAGAAGUGACUCCAUAGUUUUGGAAAAGCGUGUCUUUGAAAAACCCAAGUCUAGGUCCGGGGAUCAAGUUACCUAUUGGGAAGGUACCUCUAAGAGGUAGCACCCCUCUAAGCCUUAAAAAGGUCUCCACUGACUAAGUUGAAGGGAAUGUGGUAAUUAAUUGGUUGAUUGAGGGUACCUAGGUAGAUUAAGGUGAUUUCAAAAAAUAGCAUGCUAAACAAGAAAAUCAAUCACAAAUCAUAAAGAAGAUUUAGGGUGCGUACCUGGAUUGCUUCUUAAGCAUUAUCACAAGACAUCAAAGUUAGUUCAAAUAGUGUAUCAUCCUGCAUGCGCUUUAUCAGAAAUAAUCGAACAAUGAAACAAUAUAUCAAAACACCCAAGCACUAUCAAACAUAGUCACGGUUAACAAUGAAAAACAUAUUCACAAAAAUUAAAAAAGGUGGAUGAUAGAGAGCGUACCUGGAUAGCAUAGAUAACUUAUAAUACGCUUCCACAAGUCAUGAAGGGUUAGAUAAUAAAUAAUAAAACACAGAAAUCCUAGUAUGCUUGUUAUCUAAUUAGCAUAGAAAAAAUUAUCGAAGUAUACAGAAUCAUCAAUGAUCAUAGUAUAGAGCAUCAUCAAUGAUCACAUACAUCUUGUAUAUAAUUCCUAAAAAAUGAAUAGACAUGAUUUCAUCAAAUAGAAAAUGUGGCAGCAAAGAUGAGUUUGAAAAAUUUUCUUAUGUAGGGGUUCCACCAAUUCCCCAAUUGAUAUACACAAAUCUAGCCUAGAAUUAUCCCAUUUGUUUGGGAUCACAAGCUUGGAUUCGUAUUCCAUUCAAAACUGUAGUUUUUAUUGAAAACUGAGAAAGAUGCGAACCGAUCAAGAUAUGGUUGCAUAUCAUUUAAAAAAAAAAAAGAUUUUGAUUCUAAGGACUCUAAAUGAAUUAUUUUUAAAAUAGAAUUUUCAAAGGGAUCUUUUGAGAAAAGUAUUUUAUUUUAAAAUAAAAGAAAUUAAUUUGAAAAUAAUCAAAACAUAAGAAACAAAAUACCGAGCAAAAUAGAAGAAAACGAAUUCACAAAAUGAAAUUUUUGACAACUGAGCAAACUAAAGUAGUGAGAAUGGAGGCCAAUCUUCACUAUUUUCCUAUGACCUCCGAAAAGUAAAUUUUACCAAAGACUACCCAAGUAAUAAACUAUUUAAACUCAGAUCAAAUAAGCUAACGAGAUACUCACCAAAAAUUAAUACCUAAUUUUCAAGAAACACAUCAACUAAGAGUAACAAUCAAAAUAAAUUUUCAAUCAUAGAAUUAAUUUUAUUAAUGAAAUAAUAUUAUAGGCAAUACUUAAAUUGAAUAGGUGAAUGAAUUAAACACUAAUUAAGGCGAAUCUAAAAUCAAAUCCUUAACACAUAUGACCAAUUAUUUUAACGAACUAAAAUUUUAUGAGAGCACCUGCACCUAAAAUUAAAUUAAAAACUAACCAAAACAAAUUUUAAAACUAAAUCUCUAACCUAUAGAAUCUAUCUUAUUAACAAAUGGAUAAAUAGAUAACACAUAAAUAAAUAAAUAUAACUAAAACAAAAUAUGAACUCAUGGAAUCAAUUUUCCAAAUAAACUUAAAUUACUAAAAUGAAAUCUAAGCUUAAAAUAAAUUAAACAGUAAUUAAGGCAAAUCUAAAAUCAAAUAUUUAACACAUAAGAUUUAUUAUUUUAACAAACUAAGAUUUUAUAAAAGCACUUUAAACCUAAAGUCAAAUUAAAAAAACUAACCAAAAUAGAUUUUUGAAACUAAAUCUUUAACCUAUGUGAUCAAUCUCAUUAAUAAAUAAAUAACAAGUAAUUAAAUAAAUACCAAAUAAAUAAAUAAAACUCAAAUGUUCUCAAUAUGAUGCAAUAAAUCAAAACUAUAUUAAAUAGAGAUCAAAUCAUUUUUUUUUUCUCAAAGCUAAAACUAUAUAAAAUCGUAUUUUCUGAAUUUAAUAAGAUAAAUCAAAACAAAAUUUAAACAAAAUUCUAACCUUUACAUAAUAGAUCAAAAUUAAAUAAAAAUGAGAUUCAUGCUGCCACACUAAAACAAAUCUAGGUUGAAACUAAUAAAAUAAGUCAAAACCACUCAACCCGACAUAAUUAAUCCAAAUUGAAAAUAAACUAAACUUUAAAUUCUCUAGAUAAAGCCCAUAUAAAAUAUCAACUUAUCUAGCCGGCUGUGGUGCUACAAAGCAACCUGGAUGGUGUGCGGUGAGGUGUGAGCAGAUGUCAACUGGCCGUGGCAUGGAGUUGGUGCUGAAAGUGCUUCCCACGGAGGUUCUGUAGAUGUGUGGACUAUUCUCUUUUCAAGGUGGCAGCCGUGUGAGUGAAUCUCCUUUAUGUGGAGAUGUGUGUUGAAUCUUUCUUCAAAUGAGUGGUGCGGCUGUGGUGUUUUCCUCUUCAACUUGCAAUCGUGUGGAUACCUUUGGAGAGACGUGAAAUCUCAAUGCAUGGUGCGACUGUGGUGUGCUCCUCUUCAACUUGCAGUCGUGUGGGUAUCUUUGGAGAGGUGUGAAAUCUCAAUGCAUGGUGUGGCUGCCUCCACUUUCUUUCUUAAUGGUGCGGUUACACCUUCUCACGCUUCAGAAAAAUAAUCUUGUUUCUCUCCUUAAUGGUGCAACUCCUCCAGAAAUCUUCUCAAGGGUGCAGCUACACCUUCUCACGCUCCAGAAAAAUGAUCUUGCUCAUCUCUUUAAGGGUGCAGCUACAUCGAAAAUCUUCUCAAUGGUGCGGUUGCACCUUCUCACACUCAAGAAAAAAAUGAUCUUGCUCAUCUCCUUAAGGGUGUGGCUGCACUGGAAAUCUUUUUCAAUGGUACAACUCCUCCGAAAAUCUUGUCAAUGGUGUGGCUGCCUCCACUUUCUUUCUCAAUGGUGCGGCUGCACCUUCUCACGCUCCAAAAAAAUGAUCUUGCUCAUCUCUUUAAGGGUGCGACUGCACCUUUUCUUGUCUUUCAAUGGUGCGGCUCCUCCAAAAAUCUUUUCAAUGAUGCGGUUGCACCUUCUCACGCUCCAGAAAAAUGAUCUUGCUCAUCUCCUUAAGAGUGCGGCCGCAAGUCUUCUCUCUUGAACGGUGCUCGGCUGAUCUCCUUUUCACCCUUCCAAUCGUACUCUCUCACGCCAAAAAUUGUGCGGUUGUAAAUCUUGCACCCAUCUACUGACAGAAAACCCCACUCUUCAGAUCACCUCUUUUGUUUUCCUCCUCCUCCCCUUAUCAUCCCUCAUGCAGCCGGCUUCUCAUCCUCUUUUUGGUGUUGCCAAUCCUCUUCCCAUUUUGGUGCCUCCAAUCUCCCUCUCUACUGAGAGAAAACUCCCUUAUUCAUCCCUCCUCCUACUCGUAGACUCCGCCAACAUGGGAAGACAACUCACCAGCCCGAAGAGAGCCAGCGAUGUCAUCUACGCCUGUCCAUCAUGAUCAGAACUUUAUUCUUGAACACAACCCUCAUCCCAUCCACAUACACAAUAAAUCUCUCAUUUUCACAAGCCAUACAACUUUGGUUAUUUUCCAUUUUGGAAAAAAAAAAUCACAUACUUCCCUGUCCUUCCAUGCUAGUGGGCAGACGUGAUUGCACCUCUUAUGGUAGUCACAACUGUAUUUUUUUUUCUCUUCCCUUAUGGGUGGUGCCUCUUAUGGUAAGUGGUAGCCACAUAUCUUCAGCUUGAAUUCUCCAUGAAUCAACUCGCAUCCAUCCUUGAACUUCCUCCUAUAUCCAGUUGUCACUCCCAAUGUAUGCACUCUGAAUAUUCCACCAAAAUCCAACCCCAUGUGAUUUCCUUCAAAUUUUCCAUUGGUGGACUUACCUACCAAAUUUCAAAGUCAAUAAGUUAAAUAAAAUCAUAAUAAUAAUAAUAAUAAUAACGAUAAUGAUAAAAAUGAGUAUAAAUAAUACUAAUAAUAAUAGUAGUAUUAACAAUGAUAAUAAUAAUAAUAAUAAUAAUAAAACAUUUUAACAAAAUUAUUAAAUUAAUAUGGAUAAGUAAGGACAAGUAUUACGAAAAAGUGACAAAAUAAUAGGAAAAUAAAAUCAAUGAGGAAAUAGGCAAGAUAAUAAAUAAAAUAAACGAAAAUAUAAUAAAAAGUCAAGUCAUGUGAUUUUACAAAAACGAGCCAUGCAAGUCAUGUAAGCCACAUGAGACACACAAGUGUGCCAAAAAGGUGACCUAAAUAAGACUAGGUAAACCUAAGUGGGCCAAGGUGUACCAAAAAUGGGUCCAGGUGAGCCUAGGUGGGCCUAAGUGAGCCUAAGUGGGCCAAGUGCAUUUAAAUGGCCCUAGGGUGCCUAAGUGGGCCUAAGGUAGUGCCUAAUGGGCCAAGUGAAACUAAAUGGGCCUAAGGUGGUGCCUAAUGGGCCAAGUGUACCUAAAUGAGCCUAGUGUCACGGACUUAGUCGUUUACUAAGCUCGUGCGACACUUAGACAAGCCAAGACGCUUGAUCUUGCUAAGUCAGCCUUGCUCCCCAAUGCUUAGCUUGCUCGGCUAAGACACUCGCGACUCAAAAACUUAAGAAGCUGGGUAGGCAACUCUUGAAAGAAUGGAAGCUUUUACUAACUCAAGGAAACCUUUACAAGUGCUUGGAUGCUCACUUGCUUGGUUAGGAAGUGAUUUGGGUGGUGCCUUGGCCAAAUGAGGCCCUCACCUAUUUAUAGGCACUAAUAGAACUCUCUGGAACCUUGGAGGGUUCCUUACAAAUCAAGAAUAUUCUAGAACAUCCUACCAUAUUCUAUGUACAACCCUAGGUACAAGAAUAUACAAGAGAUUCCUAGAAGUCUCUAGAAAGCCUUGGACUCCUCUCAUGCCUUCCACCAUAGUGUAGAGAUGUGUGGACAUCUCUAGGCAUUUCUAGAACCUUCCACACUCUUCCCACCAAUGGCUUAGUGUAGAUGGCUCCAAGAGUCUCCAGAAGCUUCCCUCCUCCUAUAUAAGCCCAUGGGGAGGGUCAUUUGAAGCAUCUUGUGACACUCUCCCCCACCGAUGCCAUCGACGUCCUCGUCGUUGCCUCAUUUUGAAACCUCUCGAUGUGUUUCCAGAAUUUUCUCAAGGCAUCCGCAUGUUCCCAGCUUACCUGCCUCUUAGGUAGUCCUUUCCAUCGGACUAGAUACUCUAUCACAGGAGGGACCCCUUGUCUCCUGGUGACCCGUUCAGCCAGGAUAUUCUUCACCUCCUUCUCCCGUGAGGCUUCAGAUAGAUGCAGACCCGUGCGCUUUCGAUGCUUAGAGUGCUGCUUCCUCUUACCCAUUGAGUUCAUCUUUCCCUUGGUGACCUCUUCCAUGUGUGUGCGGGCUACCUCAGCUCGCUCCCCUUUUUCCUCCUAUACUUGCACCCCUGCUAGUAAGGAGGUCUCAGGCGUACUAGGCUUCGGGUUGAAUUGGAGGGCACCUAGUAGCUGCAUUGAGCCCAUAUGUGCUUUGUCCUCCUGCUCUCUCUCCUCGAUCAUGGCAGUGAGCGCCUUCCUCUUUGGACAAUCAUGUGCCCAAUGUGGACCGUCACACAGGAAGCAUUUGAUUUUAGGCGUAAACUCCUUCCUUUCUGCCUUAUGCCUUCCUUCUUGGACGUUAGACGUCUUGCCUGAUCCCUUUUUAGGAGCAUUGUGGUCCCUUGGAACCUCGUCUCCCCCACCCAUGGCGUGGCUAUCCUCAAAAGACUCAACCUUGGAGGAGUCUCCCCUCUUAUAAUCUGUUAAAGACUCUGCUACUGCUAUGGCAGUGGCUAAGUCUUGAACACCUCGACGCCUCAAUUCCUGCUCGGCCCACCCUUGCAGGUUAUCCAUGAAGUUGAAUAACAACUCCUCCUCGGUCAUGUUAGGAAUCUCAAGCAUGAGUGAAGAGAAUUCCUUGACAUAGUCGCGUAUCGAACCUGUGUGCUUGAGACGCCUCAUGUUUUUCCUAGCUAGGUAAGCCACGUCCUCGGGGUAGAACUGUCUCUUAAUCUCCCUCUUGAAGUCCUCCCACGUCUCUAUGGUGCAAAUGCCUUUCUCCAUAUCGGCAAACCUUCGACGCCACCAUAGAGUAGUUGUGUCAGUAAGGUAGAGGGUCGCAGUUCUCACCUUAGCCGCCUCAUCCGUCAAUGCGAUAGCUUCGAAGUAUCGCUCCAUAUGCCAUAAAAAGUUGUCCAACUCCUUCGCAUCCCUCUUGCCACUAAACCCUUGUGGCUUCGGCACCUCCACCCUAGAUGCCCCUUGUGUGGCCAUGACCCGUGCCGACACAGCAGCCUUGUAGAUGGCCAACUCCUGCCUAACUUCCUGGUCUCGGGACUCCACUCGAGUGGCCAAGGCCUCUAUCCUUGACUCCAUGCUAGCAAGCAUGCUCAAGACCUUUCCUUGGAAGGACACAAACUCCUCGUGCGACACUAGCUGAACUUGUGAGACUAGCACCCUCUCAUGAAGGUCUUGGAUCUGCUCCCUUAGAUCCUCUAAGCCCUUCUCCAUGCCUUGCUCGAUCAAGUCCAACCCCUCCCGAGUGUCCGCCAUGGCUAGCUCCACCUUGGCUAACCUUGCCUCCAUGUUGGCAACGGCAUCACGAGAUUUAUCCUUCUUCUCCCUGCCCCGUGCAGUAGGCUCGGUCUCCCUCCCACGGGUUUGCUCACUAGUCUCCUCCACGUUGGAACCUGACAUGCUUCCUUUGCUAUGCCCACCUCAUAACCGCGCUCUGAUACCACUUGUCACGGACUUAGUCGUUUACUAAGCUCGUGCGGCACUUAGACAAGCCAAGACGCUUGAUCUUGCUAAGUCAGCCUUGCUCCCCAAUGCUUAGCUUGCUCGGCUAAGACACUCGCGACUCAAAAGCUUAAGAAGCUGGGUAGGCAACUCUUGAAAGAAUGGAAGCUUUUACUAACUCAAGGAAACCUUUACAAGUGCUUGGAUUCUCACUUGCUUGGUUAGGAAGUGAUUUGGGUGGUGCCUUGGCCAAAUGAGGCACUCACCUAUUUAUAGGCACCAAUGGAACUCUUUGGAACCUUGGAGGGUUCCUUACAAAUCAAGAAUAUUCUAGAACAUCCUACCAUAUUCUAUGUACAACCCUAGGUACAAGAAUAUAUAAGAGAUUCCUAGAAGUCUCUAGAAAGCCUUGGACUCCUCUCAUGCCUUCCACCAUAGUGUAGAGAUGUGUGGACAUCUCUAGGCAUUUCUAGAACCUUCCACACUCUUCCCACCAAUGGCUUAGUGUAGAUGGCUCCAGGAGUCUCCAGAACCUUCCCUCCUCCUAUAUAAGCCCAUGGGGAGGGUCAUUUGAAGCAUCUUGUGACACUAGGGUGCCUAAGUGGGCCUAAGGUGGUGCCUAAUGGGCCAAGUGUACCUAAAUGAGCCUAGGUUGCCUAAGUGACCCUAAAGUGGUGCCUAAUAGGCCAAGUGUACCUAUAUGGGCCUAAAGUGCCUAAGUGGACCUAAGUCUAAAUGGGCCUAAGGUGGCGCCUAAUGGGCCAAGUGUACCUAAAUGGGUCUAGGGUGCCUAAGUGGGCCUAAGCCUAAAUUAGGGUUGCCAAGAGUCACAAUGGAGUUAGAUAAACCCCUCAACCAAAGUUCCUAAAGUGGCUUAGAAAAGAUAGGUUAUACGAGUAGUAAUGGGCCACCAGGGAAUUGUUGUAAAGUUGGAACAAAUACCUAAUAGGACAUGUGCUAGGAGGACAAAAUGAAGGGUCUAUAGUCGUGUUGGUCAUUUGGUGCAACAAUGUUACUACAGAUUCGAUCCAUCAUUUCAGGGCCUAUUUUCAUUUCUGAAUGGAUUUCUUUCUGCUCAAGAUUCAUCACGAAUGACUGUCAUGGUUGCUACUACUCCUAAAUUUGCCUAUGACUCUAGCUACUACCCAAACUCUGGAGCUACAAACCAUAUCACACUAGGCAUUCAUAAUCUGAUGAAUAAAACUGAAUUUGCUAGGCAAGAUAAGAUCGUGAUGGGCAAUGGAACAAGUUGGAACAUUAAACAUAUUGGACAAUCAUCUUUUCAAUCUCAAUUUAAUUCAAAAUUGCUCUCUUUAAAUCAUCUUCUUCAUGUUCCUUCUAUUACCAAAAAUUUGCUCAGUGUCUCUAAAUUUGCCAAAGAUAAUGUUGUGUAUGAGUUCUUUCUUAACUUUUGUUAUGUCAAAGAUUAGGCUUCCAAGGAAAUUCUCAUGGCAAGAGAGUUAAGAAUGGACUUUAUGUAUUUGAUGAUUUCACACUUCUACCUUCAACAAAGCCACUAUAAGUUCCAUCUUCUACAACCUUUUGUGAGUCCUUUACCCAUUCAUUUCAAAAUCAUGUUUCUAGCCCCUUUCAAAAUAAUCUUGAAUCUUGUAUUGCAACUAAGGAUUUUUCUAGUUCUUUGAAUAUUUUAGAUCUAUGGCAUCACAGACUUGGACAUCCAUUCCUUAAAAUUGUAAAGUAUGUUUUGUCUAGCUGCACUAUUUUUAUUCCUAAUAAAAUGCAAUUUUCUUUUUGCUUAGCUUGUUGUUAUGGCAAGAUUCACAAACUUAUUUUUCUUUUUUUGAAACUAUUUACACUCAUCCCCUACAACUUAUACACUUUGAUUUAUGGGGUCCCUCUCCACUUCAAUCCUCUAGUGGUUAUUACUACUACAUUCACUUUGUUGAUGCUUACUUAAGAUUUGCUUGGAUCUACUUGCUUAAACAUAAAUCAGAUGCAUUUCAAGCCUUUCUUAAUUUCAAAACUCAAGUUGAAUUACAACUAGGUUUUAAAAUUAAGGCCAUACAAACAUAUUGAGGCAGAGAAUACAAAGAUUUCACAAAAAAUUUUAACUUUAAAUGGCAUUCUUCAUAGAUAUUCUUGUCUUUAUACUCAUGAAUAAAAUGGUUUGGCUAAAAGAAGGCAUAGAACCAUUGUAGAACAUGGUCUCACUUUGUUAGCAUAUGCUUUAAUGCCAAUGAAAUAUUGGGAUGAAGCCUUUAGAGCUAUUGUUUAUCUCAACAAUAGAUUGCCAAUAUCUAUUCUUCAUCAUAAAACUUCUCUAAAAGUUUUGUUCAAAACCCUACCAGAUUACUCUUUCUUAAAAAUAUUCAGUUGCUUCUAUUUUCAUAACAUUUGUUCAUAUAAUAAAUACAAGCUUCAAUUCAGAUCCACUGAAUGUACCUUUUUGGGUUAUAGUUUCAAUCAUAAAGGCUACAAAUGUCUUGAUUCUAUUGGCAAAAUUAUUAUUUCUCGAGAUGUCAUUUCAAUGAGUCUUCAUUUUCUUUUGCUCAUAAAAUUCAAUCAUCUUUAUAUAAUUCUAUUUCACUCUCUUUUCAUCCUUCUGCUGCUCCCCCAAUAAUUUCUUUCUUUGGUAGCUUUACUCAUUCAAAAAUUGUCCAAUCUGUUACUAAUGCUUCAACACCUACUGUCUCCCCUCUUGCUACUAAUACUUAUAGCAAUGUUGCUAGUCAUAGAGCUCUUCCAUAGGACCAAAUACAAGAAGAUUUAGCUUAUGUUCCAAUGCAGCAUUACAAAAAUAAUCUUUCUAUGGUCACUCGGUCUAGAGCUGGAAUUUUUAAAGCAAGGAUUUUGGCUGCCACAUGUGAACCUACUUGUGUUGAGGAAGCUUUACGUGUACAUCAUUGGAAACAAGUAAUGGUUGAUGAAUUGAUGGCUCUUUUGAAGAAUAAUACAUGGUCCUUAAUCUCAUUACCACUUGGAAGAACACCUAUUGGCUACAAAUGGGUAUUUAAAGUGAAAGAAAACCCCGAUGGCUCAAUUCAGAAGUAUAAAGCCAGGUUAGUGGCAAAAGGGUUUCAUCAAGUUGCUGGUUUUGAUUUCACAGAAACUUUCAGUCCAAUUGUUAAACCUGCAUUUAUUCAGGUUAUGCUUACUAUAGCUUUGUCUAGAGGUUGGUUAAUUCAUCAAUUAGACGUUAAUAAUGCCUUUUUGAAUGGAGUGUUGCAUGAGGAAGUUUUUAUGGAACAAUCUCCUAGAUUUAUUCAACACAACCAGUCUCAUCUUGUUUGUUAAUUACAUAAAGCUUUAUAUGGCUUAAAACAAGCACCAAGGCCUUGGUUUGAAAAGUUAAGUACAACCUUAUAUUCCUUUGGAUUUAUCUCUGCUAUGUCAAAUCAAUUUUUGUUCAUUUGUGUGACAAAAAGUCAUUCUACUAUAUUCUUGUGUAUGUAGAUGACAUUCUUAUCACUGGUAGUAGUGAACAAGUUGUGAUGCAUCUUAUUACUAGUUUAAAUAGAGAGUUUGCCUUAAAAGAUUUUGGAUAAGUCAACUAUUUUUUAGGGAUUGAAGUGAAUCAUACUUCUGAAGGUAUUCACCUUUCUCAAGGAGAAUGCAUAACUAAUUUAUUGUGCAAAGCCAAAAUGCAAGGUACCAAUCCUAUUUCUACUUCUAUGACAAGUGGACAAAAACUUUCAAGCUAUGGAAAUGAAAAUCAGUUCAGGAUGUGAAGUUGUACAGAUCAAUUGUAGGAGCUUUGCAAUAUGUAACAAUUACUAGGCCUGAAAUUGCCUAUAGUGUUAAUAAAGUUUGUUAAUAUAUGCAAGCUCCAUUAGAAUCUCAUUGGAAAGUAGUCAAAAGAAUUCUUAGAUACUUGAAAAGAACUCUUCAUCGUAGAUUACAUUUAAGAAAGUCUCCUACUCUUGAUCUUGUAGCAUUUUGUGAUGCCAAUUGGGCCUCUAAUCCUAAUGACCGAUGAUCAACUUCAGGAUUUGGUGUAUAUUUUGGUUCAAAUUUAGUCACUUGGUAGUCAAAGAAACAACAUACUAUAUCUAGAUUGAGUACAAAAGAAAAGUACAAAAAACCUAGUUAGUUUAGUUGCAGAAAUCACUUGGUUACAAUCUCUUCUCUCAAAAAUUAAAAUCACUUUGCCUACACCACCAAUUAUUUGGUGUGAUAAUCUUAGCACUGUUAUCUUAGUUGCUAAUCCAAUAUUACAUGCCAGGAAAAAACACAUUGAAUUGGAUUUAUAUUUUGUCAAGAAAAAGGUUCUACAAAGAAAGGUUUCAGUCCAACAUGUGCCUUCCAUUGAUCAAGUAGAAAAUGUCUUGACGAAAGUUGUCUCAAGAACUUAGUUUGUAAAUUUAAGAAACAAACUCAAAGUAGAAAAUAUUUCUACCUUAAGUUUAAGGGAGAAUGUUAAGAGAUAGUUUCAUAUGGUUACAAUAUGUACAUGUGUCAUAUGCUCAUUAGUUUUCUUCUAUUAUUGUUAGAUGAAUUGUUAGAGAAUUUGUCAGUUAGGUCUACUAUAUAUAUUACUAUGUAAAUAACUUUAACAUAGUGUGAGAGAAAAAUAAAAUAGAAAAUCACUUUACUUUCUCAGUUUCUAUUAUCUUCUUUUCUUAUCUCUGUUACUUUCUUUACACGGAUGAACAUACAAUACCCCAAUAAUGUUGCAUGCAAUCUAGGGCCCUGAAUUUUACAUGAAUCGUAAAAGUUGUAGGCAGUUUUGUUCACUAAUGCAACCUCAUGAUGACAUAACAAAUAGAGGGCCAAAAAGCUGCAUAUUGUGGUUGAAGUUGUGUACCAAAAUUCUGGCCAAAUAGCUUCAUUAGAUGGGGUCAUCGGAUUGAAGGAAGAAUACAGCUUCUGUGUCUUACUAGAUGAGAGAAAUCUUGUGCUAUGGAAUACAAUGCUACGAGGUUGUGCAUAAAAUGGGUAUUGCUAGUAAACUCAUGAAGUUAUUCUCUGAACUGAGGGUUGUGGAGCCAAUUUGUGACAUAUGAGGAGAAGCAUGACCUCUAAAGCUUACCAUUAGACAAGCUAGAUCAUAUUGCUCAAAUUAUUAAGAAGAUGAAUUUAGCUGUUAGUCAAUAAGAUUAUGGGAUUAAAGUGGACAUAGACAUUGUUGAUGCUGAAACACUUUGGAACUUGAUGGGUAUAUAACUAAUUAUAAGAAGAGUUUAAGAAGGAAUGAAAUAAAUGACGAACUUGCUUUCUGGAAAAAGCAAAAUGUUAAUCACAAUAUCUAGGAAAUGUACUUUUCCUCGACCACAGUGGAGACACCAAAAGAAACUAAAUCAGAUGGAGAACAUGUUUCUAUUUCUCUCAUUCAAGCAGAAAAGUAAGGUGAUAAUGCAGGGGGGUCUCGUGGUUUGAGUUCAAACAAUGAUUUUGGAUCCUCUUCAAGUGAUUCUGACAGUGAAAGUUAUUCUACAUAUGGAUUAGAUGUAGGUUAUUCACCUAGGAAUUGAUCAGACUUAGAGCUCAUUUGGCGGUAAUUUUAAGAAGUGUUUCUAACAUUUUUAAUACUUAAAACUUUUUAUCAUUCAAGUGUUUGAAAUGCUAAAAACAUUUUCUAGGAUUACUAUUAAACACACUCUUAAUAUCUGGCAUUCUGAACCCCAACUGGAGCUAUUUUGACAUGUUCACCUCCCAUAUGCAUAAAGGCUCUCCAUGCAUGGCCACCUGAAAUGGAUGUGAUUCAUAUCUUAAAUCCUUAUGCAUGUUUUUCAAUAUUGAUUUUUUAAAUGUCCAUUUUUCAACUAAUUGUAAUUUCUUAACUCUUUUUAAUUCAUCCUUGAAAUUUUAAGUCAAUAAAAACUAAAAAGUCUGUUCUUAACAAUCUUUUCCACCACAUUCCUUGGAUAGGCAUCUUUAACAAUUUUCCUUGUUUUUUUCUUUUAAUAAUUUUGUCAAUUUUCAAAAAAACAUGAAUAAAUUCCAUAAUUCUCAAAGAUAAUUGAAUUUUCUACAAAUUUUUAUGAUCAUCUUCCAUGGUCAUCAGGAAAAUGGAAGUUAUAAAACCAAUUUAUGCAAAAAUAUAUCAGGUUGAGGUGGGACCCAACAUAAUGCUAUUUUUUUUUUGUUAAUUAAUCUUGAUUGAUAUGCUUGAUUGAAUAAUGAUUGAUUUUUGCUAUGCUCUAUGAUAUACAUGUCAUUAUUGUGUACUUAUUAUUGUAUAUACUAACCUUGUUUCCAUGAAGCACUCAAUUAAUUGCUCAGGUACACCCCUUACCCUUUCUCAUCUAUUUGACUAUAUGUCUAUCCAUAUCUUAAUCUUUACUUAGUAUCCAUGUAUUAACUUAUCAAUUGUCAUACUUGUUUUAGUUUGAUUAGUAAAGACUUGAAUUUAGGGCUUAGAAGCCUAGGGAUGCUACGACUUAUCACUUGACCUUUCUGAUAAGUAACCUAACCUCCAAACCAAGACUUGAUUUUCAUAGACUUGUCUUUCCUUUUUCUAGGAGUCACAUUUUGGGUUUUCUUUCUUAUUUUGUUUUCUAUUUAAAAAAUAAAACAAAAAUAAGUGGCAACUUCAAAACCUUUUCUAAAAUCAAAUUUUCAUAAAAAAAAAAAUAAAAAAAAUGAGUCUCACCAUUGAGUAGGGAUGCACAUGAAAAAUAAAAAUCCACACAUAUUAAUUAUAAUAUCCAAGCAUUUGGUCAAUGACAUCUCAACUUCAAGGAUUCUUCUUGCACUUUAGCAAAAUCAAUGUUUCUUAAUUUGGGCAAUAAGACUGAGAAAAGGAAUCGGGAUCCUUAUAUAUGGACCAUUACAAAUUGGAAAUACUGAACCAAUUAAUCUCUAGUUUGGUCGCUUUGGGAUAACUAUUUGGCCUGGUGAAGUUUAUGGUACAUGUCAUGCUAGAAAUGUCGAUGAGUCAAAGGUGAUAAAAUUGGUACUAGUAGUAGAUAAUGUUACGGCCCAAAACCCACUCUAAAGGCGUGAUGGUCAUUUCACACCUCAAACUUAAAGGCUCAAAGUGGAAACGACACAAACAUUCAUCUUGCAACUGGAAAUUACCAAUUACCAAAUUCUUGUUCAGAGUAGUAAAAUAACUAAAUUCUAAAAUCUUCAUAUAUCAACUUUAAAAACUAACACAUCAACCAAAGUGGUAAUCAAAUUCUAGCAUCUAAACAAUGUCCAAAAUAAAGACAGUUUAAAAAAAUAUCCUAAUAAAGCUAAAUAAUUCCCCUCUUAAUGGUCACUCCUCAUCCGAACUGAGGGUACCUGAAAAAUUAUCAACAAAGGAGGAUGAGCUCAAAGCCAAUAAGAAACAUUAAUACAGUUUCAUGGAUCAAAUAGUUUCAAUCAUACUUGAAAAUAGGAGAUAUAAGGUACAAUCAUUUUCAUAAAAACAUUUGAGUUCAAAUAUGCUAAUACAUUUUAAAUUGUUCAACCAAACAUUUUCAUAUAUAUUUGUUAGAAAAUUUGGGUUAAUCCAACCUAAAGUAAUCACCCUAGAGGGGGGUGAAUAGGGUGAUGGUCUCUUUUUGAAAAUUUAAAUUAUAUGAAUUCAAGAGACAAUUACAUGUAAAUAUACAAUAAAAAAAUAUAAAAACAAUUAGAUAUAAAGUAAAAGAGUAGAAAAGAGAGAAUGCAAACACAAGAUUUUUAUAGUGGUUUGGCGCAACCCGACCUACAUCCACUCUCCUCUACCUUCAAUCCCAAGCUUCAGGUUCCACUAAUUCAAGGCUUCCAAACCAAGUCUUCAAGUAAUACAAUUGGAUUAUGGUUCCAAUCCACCUUCUUGGACUUUUGGCUCCAAGCACCCUUUAUAAACCUCAAGAGAUAUCUCACUCUUGAAUAACCCCUCAAGUGAUACCCCACACUUGAGAAUCCCUAAGUGAUACCUCACACUUAGAUUCUUCCUCUUAAAUAUUUACAAAUAAUUUCACAAAAUCCUGGUACAAAACUUUAGGCACAAAUGAUAAAAGAAAAACUAGGAUUGAAAUGUGCACUAAUGAUAUGCAAGUUUUAGAACAAUGGUGCACUCAAAAAUAUUCUUCCAAUGCUUAAUAUAUUCAAGAAAGGUUUAAGAAUGUUAAGCUCAUGAAAAAAUUUAAGAUUUGGGCCUUUUUAUAAAAGAAAAAGGUCAAACUAGCCAUUGGGGGUUUGACCAGUCGAGUUGGGGAUCAACCAGUUUACUAGAGUUUUUUCUUCCGCUAAAAAUAAUUAGCAAUAUAGAAAUUUAACAUUCAGUAUGAGUUCUUCUAAUUAAUUUCUGAGUCAUCUUAUGGCCUUAAAUUUUUAAUUUUGAGGAUUAGAGUUUAUUGAAUUAAACCUUUUAUUUCUUUGAAGUUUAAGGCUUCUAGUUCUAUGUUGUUAGCAUUCCUUUUCAUGGGUUUCCCCUUUUCUCAAUGUACCAAUCACUCAUACUUGGUAAAAAAAUCCUAAUUAUUCUAGCUCAAGCAUGCCUUAAUGUUUGCCAUAUCAUGAUCCUUAUACUUUCUUGUUAGUACUUGAGUAUUGCUUUACUUUUUCAACAUUUUAUUAUCUAAUGAUGAGUUUGACCAUUAUUGAUCAAUUAGAAUUUUGGGGUUGAGCCCUUAUAGCUCACUUUCUCAGCACUUUCUAUCACAAACAGAAUGUUGAGCCCUUGUUUUCUUUUUUGUUAUUUUGACACAGUAUAAAUUGCAAAGAUUUGAAAAUUUUUUCCCUCAUAAUUUCUUUGCCCUUUUGUAAAGGUUGGUACUUUCUUUGAUUUUCAACUUUCUGUCAUUAUUGAUUGUAUUUUUUUUUUUUUUAGAAAUACAACCAUUUUGCUUUCAUUUUCCAUCUAAUCACUAUUUAUCUUGUGGUCGAAUUCUAGUUGAAUUAUGAUAAUUUGUUAUCAUUUUUAGCUUCCCUUAAAUUUGUGUCUGCACUUAUGUUCUUGAUGUCCAAUACAAAUUGGCUAGGAUUUUUGUCCUGAUUUAUGAAAUAUCGAAGAAGGGGAUAAAAUAAGAGGUUUUUGAAUUUUCCAAUAUUGUUAUUUAUUAUUUUGAUUUUGGAUAGGAACUUCUCCAAUAUACCACUCUUCUCAAGGAAGUGUUAAGUUCCAUUAGGAAAUUUCAUUCUAAAAGCUAAUUUUUCAUUGUCAUCAACUAUAAGGAUUAUCAAAUUCAAAGCAAAACUUCAUGAAAUAGAUUAACAACAGUUUGCAUCAUGAGUUUUUUCUAUAGUAGCAAAACACCUUUUCUUUAUAAUUUAUCAAAUAAAUUACAGACAAAGUUUAAUUUUUUUUUCUUAUUAAAAACAUAGAAUGUUUUUUUUUUCACAUUUGUGAUUAGGACUCUUGCACAGUUAUGAACCUUAUUGAGAUGGAAAGGAAAAACCAACUUACCCUAAUUCUAUAUCAUGUCAUAGUGAAUAUAGUUAAUAUGUUUUCUACACUUUGUACUGCUAUAAGGAAUCGUUAUCAUAAGUGAACAUUGAUGGAAAGACCUAUGAAUAGAGUGUUUUUGUGACUUGAAGUGUUUUACACUUCAUACUAUUGAUAAACUAAAGAAUUUAAAAUAUGUUGAUGUAGAAGAAAUGGUUGCAUUAUUUUUGUAUGCUCUUGCACAUCAAGUAAAAAAUCAAGUUAUAAAAUUUUGAUUCUUAACAUCUAGAGAAAUUGUUAGUAGGAAUUUCAAUGUAGUAUUAAAUGCGGUUAUUUGCUUACAAGGAGUAUUAAUUAAAAAAUUGGAACUGGUCUUUGAGAACUCCACAAAUGAGAGAUAGAAAUGGUUUAAGGUAUAUAAAAUACAAAUUUAGUUUAUGUAGAUUUAAUUAAUUCAUACUAUAGCAAUACUAAUACUUUUAUUUGAAUAAAAUUGUUUAGGAGCUUUAGAUGGAAUAUACAUUCAAAUGAAUGUACCUAAGGGAGGCAAGUCUAGAUAUCAAACAAUUGCAACAAAUGUCUUAAGAGUUUGUUCUUAUGACAUGUAGUUUAUUUAUAUAUUGCCAGGUUAAGAGGGAUUAACCUUUGAUUCCCAAGUUCUUUGAGAUGCAAUAAGUAGGGAAAUGGACUAAUAGUUUCAUGCGGUAACUAUGUUAGAAAUGAUUGAUUUUUUUUUUAACAUAUGAUUUAUUUUUUGAAAUAUAUUUUGGAAUAUUCAUUUUAUUACUAUCUUGUUGAUGUUGGCUAUACAAAUGAAAAGAGAUUUCUUGCCCCAUAUAAAUGGAAAAAAUAUCAUUUCAAUGAUUGGAGGAAGGGACUCAUGCCAACAAUCCAUGAACAGUUUUUCAACGUGAAACAUUCUACAACAAGAAAUGUUAUUGAGAGAUAUUUUGGUUUGCUUAAACUAUGUUGGGCUAUACUUUGGAGCCCUUGUUUCUAUCUAGUAAAGACACAAGGUAAAAUCAUUCUUCCUUGUUGACUUCUUCAUAAUCUCAUAAAAAGAGAUGCAUGUGGACCCAUUGGAAUAAGAGCUAGAUGUGCAAGACCACCAAGUUGUAGGUCAACCAAUAACUAUAAUUGAACCAUUAGAUCAAUGGAGUGCUUGGAGAAGAAAUUUAGCAAUUCAAAUGUUUAAUGAAUGGAGGACAUUGUAGUAUGUUGUUUAUUUUAAAAAUAAAAUAAAAUAAAAUAAAAAAAUCUUUAAGAUGUUUUAGACUUAUCUCUUGUAAAUUGUGAAUGGUUUAUAUGGAUUAUUAUAUGAUGAACUAGUUUGAAUUGUAUUUUAUAAUGUCUUUCUAUUGUUAAAUUUAAGAUAUAGUUAGAUUGCAUUUAUUAUAAUUGUCUUUAUAUUAUAUUUAUUCUUAAAAUAUAGUUGUAUAAUUUGAUAUUUUUGAAACAUAAGAUGGAUUCUACAUUAAGUGGUCAAGUAAGGGAUGGUGAAAGAAGCAAACGAGUGUGUACUCAUAGUGAAGAUGAAAGAUUAGUUGAGUCUCUUACUGAAAUUAUGGUUUUAAGGAAGAUAAAGUGUGAUAAUGGGUUUAAACCAAGAACAUUUUUACAAGUGGAGAAGUUGCUAGAGGAAAAGCUUCUAAAUAGUGGACUUAAAGCAAGUCCAUAUAUGGAAUCGCAUGUGAAGACUUUAAAAAGACAAUUCAAUGUCAUAAUAGAUAUGCUAACCCAUGGUAGCAAGUUUUUAUGGGACAAUGAAAAGAAAACAAUUUUAUGUGAUCAAGAUAUAUUCAAAGGUUGGAUCAAGGUAAAUAUAUUUACAAUUCUUCCUAUCUAUUAUUUUCCUUUUUUUUUUUUGUGUUUUUUUAUUCCACAACAUGAUUGGUAUAUUAUUUUGCUUUCAAUAUAUUAUGUAUUUUCUAUGUCUAAAUAUCACUUAUAUUUAUACCAACUGUAUGAAUGGUGCUUGUUACUAUUGUUCACUAAUUUUUCUUAAGAGAAAUAUUAAUUGCAACUACUUUUAAUGGAUUGCACAAUAGCGGUUUAGUUAGUUAGUUUUUUUUUUUUUUUUUCAAAGUUCCAUUCAAUUGUUGAUGUUGUUGUUUCUAUGUUCCUCCCUUGCUUGAAUUGUUGUAUUUUAUUAGAUUACUAAAGGGAAUUUAAAAUAGGUUGGUUAUGCUUAUUUAUUCAUAUCCAUUAAGCAAGUUUUCAAUAAGGCAUGUUGUAAUUUUUUUGGAUUUUUGUAGUUUUUAGAUUGAGGAAGAACAAUUUUUUUUGGGAUUUUCAAUUGUUGAUGGAUGUUUUAUGUUAAUAAAAAUUCAAAUAUCAUUAUUGUUAUUUCUUUCAGCCUUUUUAUUAUCUUUUGUAAGUUUUAUAGGGGCAUAAAGUUGCUAAUGGUUUGAGGCUCAAACCAUUUCCGCACUUUGAUGAUCCAAGUCUUGUUUUUGGUAAAGAUCAUGCUAAUGGAAAAUGAUUCAUGUCAGUUGCCAAUAUUUUGGAGGAGUUGGAUCAAGAUGAAGCAAACAAUAACAUUGGAGUUGAUGACUUAGAAGUUGAUGCCUCUUGUACUCAUAUAACUGCAUCUACUCCAAAUAGAAUGGAAUGUUCAUCACAAUCUCAUAUGAAAAGAGCAAAGAAUGAUGACACAAUUUUAAUUGAUGUAAUGACAAGGAUAUGGAAAAUGAAGAUUUAGUGGAUGGUGAAUUAGAGAAACUUCUCGGUCUUAGUAGGUUGGACUUAUUGAAAUUAAGUCAAAUUAUCAAGAAUCACUUGAUGAAAGUCAAACUUUUGUUCAAUUUGGAUGAAGAUCUCAAGGUUGAAUGGGUAAAACAACUUCUUCAAAGUCACUGAAUUUCCAUGUUGCAUCCUUGUUGGUUUAUUAUCUUUAGGUUGGAUCGAUAGAAAUUUUAGGUUAAAUAUUUUGUUUCAUCAAUUUCCUAUGAACUUUUUAUUGUUUUGUUGGAUUAAUUUGGAUGAAUAUACUAGUUGUGGAUUUUAUUAGAUAUGGUACUUCUAUUGAGAACUAGAAUGAAGUUUGUGUUAUUUUAUUUCCUCUUUUGCAAAAAGGAAACAAUUAUUUGCUAGCUUUGAGAAUUUAAAUAUUCUUAUCUAUUUUUUUAUUUUUUAUUUGGUACAAUAUAAUUUUAUAGCUUUUUUUGCAUGACAAAUUUUCAAAAUUUUGAUAAAAGAAUAAAUGAAUAUUUGCAUAUUUUAGGGUUGUGGAUUUUAUUGGAUAGGAUACUUAUUGAAAAUUAGAAUGAAGCUUGAGUUUUUUAUUUCCUCUUUUGGAAAUAAAAAAUGUAUUUGCUAGCUUUGAGAAUUUAAAUAUUAUAAUAAAUAUGUAUUUUCUCUUUUUUUUUUUGGUAAAAUAUAAUUUUAUAGCUUCUUUGGCAUACAAAUUAUUCAAUUUUUUUUUAUAAAAAGAAUAAUUGAAUAUUUGUAUAUUAGGGUUGUAUGAUUUUUUAUGCUUAAGUUUUUAUUUAUUCAAUAUAUAUUAUUUUUUGUCUCAUUAUUUAGUAACCAAAAAAAAAAAACUCUUAAAAUUUAUUCUUUUAAAGUGAAAAUAAAAAAAUUAAAAAUUAUUUUAGCUUGCGUAAGGGUAUUAUUGUCAAUUUAUUUCUUUUCAUUCCCAUUUCUAUUGUCAUGAAACAUAGGAAUAGAAAUAAGUAAUCAUUCCAACCUUAAAUUCCUAAGUGCAUCAAAACACUAGAAAUGAAAUCAUCAAAUUCAUUCCCAUUCAACAAGAAAUAGGAAUGGAAACAAAAUAUUCUUUCCCAUUCCUUAGUCCCACAUACCAAACACCUCAUAAUGGAAAAUGAGAUAUGAUCCUAUGCUCCUAGCUUCACUUUAGACAACUUGACUCCUGUCUCAAGAAGUUGUAAGCUACAUGUGAUUAGUAAAAGAAUACAGUAAGGUGCCCUUAUGUUUACUAUGUAUGGACAAGAUUUCCUUAUAACUCCAAUGUACUUGGUUGUGGUGGUUAUGUGUUGAUGAUGACCUUAUCUUAAGAAGUAGCAAACUACAUGUGAUUAGUAAAAAAUUCCACUCAUCCUUCAAUCCUUCCAAUUGAAGAGUAGUGCACAUAAAUAUUCAAGGGAUUAAAGCAAUUUCAAAAAUUAGAAUAUUAAAUUUUGUCUUAUUAGCAUUUUUCUUAAAAAAAUAAAUCUUUGAAUUGGAAAUAGAUUCAUAUUGAAAUUAAUUUGGCAAUUUUGAACAAGUCAUAUAAAUAAAAUCAUCUAAUCCUAUGAAGGAUUCUAAGUUCAUGCAUUUGCAUGGGAAAAAGGGAAAAACUUCUCACUAGCUUUGCAUAAAGUGGUGUUAUCAAACCCUUUUCAAGUUCUUUAUAGAUGAAGAAUUGCAUUUCUUUAUACAUACAUACAUAUAUAUAUAUAUAUAUAUAUAUAUAUAUAUAUAUAUAUAUAUAUAUAUUUCCCUCUUCUUAAUAGUAGUGAUAGGAAAGUUGUGUUAUCAAGCCUUUUUCAAGUUUUUUACAGAUGAAGAAUUGCAUUUCUCAAUAUAUAUAUAUCACUUUCCCUCUUCUUAAUAUUAUUGAUUAAUAUCAUUUUGCAAAGCUAGUGAGAAUUUUUUCCCUUUAUAUAUAUAUAUGGUGCUACGGGAGUGCACCAUAGGUGCAAUGUUGUAUAAAACUUCAUUACCUCCUACAUGCAUCCUGAGGCACCUCCUACAUGCAUCUCGAGGUGGCUCCUACAUGCAUCCCGAUACGGUAUAGGCAUGCAUUCCAAGGCAAUGCUCUUUAUGCAUCCCAAGGUGACUCGGGCACUCACCUUGAGGAGGCAUAAGAGGCACCAUGUGUGGAAUGUUGCAUAAAAUCUUAUUACCUCCGACACACAUACCGAGGUGACUCCUGCGCAUAAAUAAGAAUUAAAAAUUAAAUAAAUAAAUAGGAAAUAUAUGUAGGAAGAGUGUAUAGUAAAAGAGAGUGAGCUUUUAGUGUUUUUGCUUGUCCCACAUAGGAAAAAGAACAACACCUUAAGUGGGUAUAUGUACUAACCCACUUUCCUUAGCCUAAUGGAUUUGUGGAGAGGUCUAAGGAAGCCUCACACUCCUAAGGGGCCCAACCCCAUUUGAGUGGGGUUUCGAGCUGUUCGAGCAAGAAUCCCUUAAUGCGCAUCAUGUCCGCAAAUGCAUCUUGUGCUAGGAGGGUCCCUUUCCCCCUACGUAUGCACGUGAGUUUGGUUACUUUUUACAAAAUUCAAAAUAAAUUGUUUAAAAAAAUUUAUUUCUUUAUUUUCCAUUUGACUUAGUAUUUUAUUUUGGUCGAGUCUUCUAAUGGGUUGUUUCUUCCAAGAGACUAAGUAGCCAAUCUCAUGUUUUGUGCAAUAGUGACUUCGUGGUUCUGAUUCUAUAAGAGAGACCCAUUGGGACUCUACCUAUAAAAGCAUAUCACUCCUUCAACUCUUAACACAGUCAUUCUUUGCUCUCUCACUCUUUGUUCUACAUCCAAAGCCUUUCUGCAUUCUCUAUUGCAUACUUCUGUUUUCGUCACUAUAAUAACCUCGAGCCUAUAGUCAUGACUGUAGCAGCCGCACCUAUUUCAUAUCCUACCUAGCAUCCAUCUCCAUUGUAGAAGUCACGGUCUUCACUAUGGUUGUUGCACUUCCUGUACCUAUAUGAAGGAUUUAUUAAAAACUUGGGUUGUACAAUUCUCAUUUACAAAGUGCACUGAAGGCGAGAUCCUCUAGUUAUUGAAUCUUGGAGGUAGACCACUGGUUCCUUAUUGCAUCGAGCUUGUCUUCAAGGAAGGUGGAUCUACUUUAAGAACAGUGCAUCGUCACGCCUCAACCAACCAUACCAAUAAGUUUUCAUUAUCUCUUUCUAUUCUUUGAUUGUGUGUUUUGGGCUAGGUCAAUUCCACUACUUUUCAGAUACCCUUAGAACAACAAUCUUAAAGUAGAUCAAUGGAAGCUUCCCUAGUUCAUACACGUCCUGACACCUAUAAGAUUGAUCCCUUCAAUGGGACAUUCUUCAAGAAAUGGCAGGAAAAGGUCUUCUUGGCAAUAGAUGUAGUGAACUUGGGACACAUUUUGACUGACCCAAAACCAAAAGAUAAUUCUGAACUUUUGCCUACCUGGGAAACUAGAAAUAAACAAGUUAGGCAUGCUAUUCUUAGUACUUUUACAAAUGAGUUAUUUGAUGUUUACUAUCAGUAUAAAGUUGCAAAAGAAAUGUGGAAUGCAAUGCAUAAAAAAUAUAUCUUGGAAGGUGUGGGAACUCAGAAAUAUGUCAUAAAGAAUUUUAGAAAUUUCCAAAUGACCGAGAAUAGAGAUGUAUCAUCUCAAAUCCGUGGUUACCACUUAUUGAUUAAUGACUUAGCUCUUAAAGACAUUAAAUUACCCAAACCUUUUGUGGUUGGUUACUUAGUAGAAACUCUUCCAAAGUCUUGGAAAGACUACAAAUAACAUGAAACAUAAAAGGAAACAAAUGUCCCUAGAAAAUGUCAUAAUCUAUAUUAGGAUUGAGAAACAAAAUCGAAAUAAGGACAAGGUUGAGAAAACUAAGGAAUUGUCUUCUAAGGCUAAUGUGGUGUAAGAAAAACCUCAAUCCAAAAAUAAUAGGUCUAGAAAACUAACCUCUAAGACCAAGCCUAAUGAAACAAGCAAGGUCUAGAACCCAACUAUUAAAAAGAGGGGUAAUUGCUUUGUCCAUGGUAAGCCUAAACACCAUGCAACUCAAUGCUGCUAUAGGAAGAGAACUGAGAAGACCAAUUUAAAGGUAAACCUAGCAGAGACAGAGGUGAUCGCAGAAGUAGUCUCCUUUGAGGUGAGCAUGGUCACCAAUGUGAAAGACUGGGUGGUAGGCUUUGGGGCUACCAAACACAUCUGUGGCAAUAGAAGUGCAUUUACUUCCUGUACCACAGUAAAGGAAUGAGAGGAACAAGUGUUCAUGGGCAAUUCUAGAUCUUCCCUAAUGAUUGGAAAAUGGAAAGUUCUCCUCAAGCUAACCUUUGGAAAAGUGCUCGCCCUCAGUGAUUUCCUUCAUGUGCCAGAUAUUCGCUGGAACUUGGUGUCAGUACCUCUGCUUGGGAAAGUAGAAGUGAGGAUCUUGUUUAACUCUGAUAAAAUAGUUUUAACCGAAAAUGAUGUUUUUGUUGGCAAAGGUUAUUAUAAUCAAGGUCUUUUUAUGUUGAAUGUUUCAAAAAUUGUCAAUAAUAAUGAUUCUUCUUAUGCUUCCUUAGUUGACUCUUGUGAUAUUUGGCAUGGUAGACUUGGACAUGUGAAUUUUUCUUAUAUGAAAAAAAUGGUUGAGUUGAGUUUAAUUCCUAAAUUGUCCUUAGAAAAUCAUGGAAAAUGUGAAUCUUGUGUAAAAUCUAAAACCAUAAAGAAAACUUGCAAAUCAGUAAGAAAAAGAAUCAGAACUACUAAGUUUAAUACACAGUGACUUAGGGGACCUAAAAAAUACAAUUACUAGAGGUGGUCAAAGAUUCUACGUAACUUUUAUAAAUAACUAUUCAAGGUAUAUAAGGGUAUAUCUUUUGAGAAACAAAGAUGAAACAAAAAAUGCUUUCAUUAAGUACAAAAUAAAGUGGAAAAUCAACUAAGUAAGAAAAUUAAAAGACUUAGAACUGAUAGGGGAGGAGAGUAUGAGUCCAACCCCUUUAACUCAUUUGGUGAAAAUCAUGGGAUCAUUCACAAAACUCCUCCUCCUUAUUCCCCCCGAGUCCAAUGGUGUAAUAAAAAGGAAAAAUAGGACAUCAAAAGAAAUAAUGAAUGCAAUGUUGGUAAGUUUAGGAGCACCCUUGAACUUGUGGGGGGAAGUUAUCCUCUCUGCUUGUCAUAUACAAAAUAGAAUACCUUACAAGAGAACUGGUAAAACACCUUAUAAGUUGUGGAAGGGUUAUGCACCUAAUAUAGCAUACCUAAAAGUAUGAGGGUGUUUGGCUAAAGUUCUUUUUCCUGAAACUAAAAAAUGAAAACUAGGUCUUAAAAGCUUUGAUGUAAUGUUCAUUGGCUAUGUGAAGAAUAGUGCAACAUAUAGAUUUCUUGUUAUUAAAUAAAAAAACAGUCUUGUAGAAGUAAACACCAUUAUAGAAAUAAAGAAUGUGGAUUUCUUUGAAAGUAUCUUUCCAAUGAAACUAAGUGGUGAACAACAAGUUCAUAAAACAAUUAGAGACGAGUCUAUUGAACCUUUUGAACCUAAACUAAGGAGUAAAAGAGACAAGAAAGACACAAACCUUGGAGAUGGUUUUUAUACCUUCCUAAUAGAUGAUGACCCUAGAACCUACAAAGAAGUUAUAGUUUCUUUUGAUGCACCAUUCUGAAAUGAGGCUAUUAAUGGUGAAAUCGAAUCAAUCGUGUAAAAUCAUAUAUGGGAGUUAGUAGAUUUACCUCCUGGUGUGAAUACUAUUGGUUGUAAAUAGAUCUUUAAAAGAAAGCUAAAACAAAAUGGGUCCAUGGAGAAGUAUAAAGCUCAUUUAGUUGCUAAACGCUCUAAACAAAGGAAGGAUGUAGAUUACUUUGACACAUUUGCCCCUAUGACUAGAAUAUUCUCAAUUAAAGUAAUGAUUCGUCUAGCUUCCAUUCAUAACCUAAUGAUACACCAAAUUGAUGCCAAAAUUGCAUUCUUAAAUGGGGAUUUGGAAGAGGAAAUUUAUAUGGAACAACCCGAGGGUUGUGUAGUUCCAGAGAAUGAGAAAAAGGUGUGUAGGUUGGUUAAAUCACUAUAUGGGUUAAAACAAGCACCCAAACAGCGACACAACAAGGUUGAUCAUAUGCUAGUAACUAAAGGAUAUUCCUUUAAUGAUGUUGAUAAGUGUAUUCAUAGUAAGUAUGAGGAUAACACAUGUGUAGUCAUUUGCCUCUAUGUUGAUGACAUACUGAUUUUUGGAACUAACCUAGAGGCCGUGUGUGAGACUAAGAAAUUCCUAGGAUUUAAGUUUGACAUGAAAGACCUAGGAGAAACAGAGGUGAUUCUAGGAAUCAAGAUCACUAGAACGCCUAAUGGGCUUAAACUUUCUCAAGAGCAUUAUGUUAAGAAGAUCUUAAGGAAGUUUGAACCCUUUGAUUGUAAACCAGUGUCAACUCUAUAUAAUCCCAACUCAUAGCUAAAGAAAAAUAGAGAACAUAGUGUUGCCCAAACUAAGUAUGCUCAUAUUAUGAGAAGCCUAAUGUACUUAAAAAAUUGUACCAUACCUGACAUUACUUAUGCAAUAGGUAGGUUGAGUUAGUACACCCAAAGUCCUAAUCAGGACCAUUGGAUUGCUAUUAGUAGAGUACUUAAGUAUUUGAGAGGCAUCAUUAACUAUGGUUUGUGCUAUAAUGGAUUUCCAAGUGUCCUUGAAGGAUUUAGUGAUACAAAUUGGAUCUCUGAUUCAAACGAGAUGAAAUCAACUAGUGGGUAUGUUUUUACCCUUAGAAGAGGUGCAGCUUCUUAGAAGUCUGCUAAUCAAACUUGCAUUACUCAAUCUACUAUGGAAGUUGAGGUUAUUGCCUUAGAAAAGAUAAGUUCUGAGGUUGAGUGGCUUAGAAACCUCUUAGUAGAUAUCUUUUUAUGGACGAGACUAGCAAUAUCUGUGUCUAUGUGUUGUGAUAGCCAAACUACAAUUGCUAAGUUUAAGAGUAAAAUAUUUAAUGGGAAAAACAGGCAUAUACGCCUAAGGCACAAUAAUGUGCGACAACUGCUUGAAACAUGGGUUAUAUCCUUGGAACUUGUGAGGUCAAAGUUGAGUUUAGCCGAUCCUUUGACCAAACCACUAAAUAAGAAACUAGUAGAAGAAACAUCGAGAAGAAUGGGACUUAUGCAUGUGUAGACCCCCAUUCUGGGCUUGCUUUUAUGCAGCCAUUUUUUUGACAGGUGUGGCCAUCUAGGGUGGCCACGUGUCAAUCUUUCAUUGGCUGUUGGGGCACCAGAAUGGUGUUUUUGAUGGCCAACCAUAGGUCGACACGUGUCCAAGGAAUCUGCAAAAAGCUGCAGACGGUUAGAGAUAUUUUAGGGGGGAUAGAGAGAGGGAGUUUUGGGGAGUUGAGGGAAGCCACCGGAGAGAGGAUUUUUCUGGAGGGUAUUCCUGGAGCUUAGGCUACGGAGAGAAGUUGAGAGAAGGAGGAACCAGGGCGGACAGCAAAGGGAAGAGAGGGAGCUUUAGAAAAGAGCUAGAAGCCUAACUAGUCUUGCUGGUAGGGAAUCCAUUUACAGGUAUGAACUAUAAGUCUUACAUUUUCCAUUAUUCUCCUAUCCUCUUGACAUUUUUAGCUCUAGUUCUAGACAAUAUUUUGUUUGCUUUGGUUGAACUCAGUCCUCUGAAUGCAUGAACUGUUUUUGAGUUUUCUUUGAUACGUUAAUCUCACCUAUUUCGAGCCCAUGGAUGUCACCUGAAGUGGAACUCUGUAUCAUCAUAUGUUUUACCUUCCCAUAUUUGUUUAACACCUGUUGUUCACCCUGGCUAUGUCUCUGCUGUUAUUCCUAUAUUUGUGUUGUGCUUGGUGAGCUGUUUGAUCUAGAGUAUUGACGAAAAUGGAAAUGAGCUAAGUAAGAAAAUGAGAGAGAGAAGCAGAUGGGGAGAUAUGGUUGCUGAACUUGAGAAACAGAGGAGAAGCAGAGAAGGAGAUGCGCUCAUGGGUUUUCUGUUUCAUUUCUGCUAGAGGAAAUGUUUUUGGGAGAGAUCUCGAGGUGGUACAGGCUGAAAUCCAGGAAAGCUGUAAGAGAAUUAAUGAAAGUUUUGGGCAGCCAGAUUAUGACCCGAUUGUAUUUAUUGAUAGGUCAUUUUAUCUUAGUGAGAAAGCUGCAUUUCACACCAUUGCCAAGUGUGUCGUGGUGACAGCUGUCAGGGGUGGAAUGAACCUUGUCCCAUAUGAGUAUAUCAUGCCCAGGCAGGGGGUCUCUAUAUCUGAAUUUGGUUCUGAAUUAAGAGGCCCCAAGAAGAGUAUGCUAGUGGUAUCGGGGUUCAUAGGAUGGUCCCCUUCGCUGAGUGAUGCCAUUAAAAUUAAUCCAAAUAGAAGAUGAAGCUCUAGAAAGUAUGUUUAGUUGUUUUACAAUUGGGCAGUGUAGUUUUCAUGGGUUUCUAAGACGCGAUGGGCUGACUGAGGAGUCAGGAGCUUCUUGAAGUUCUGGGAGCUAGUGGGAGGUAGCGUACACAGUUGAAAAGGCAUACUGCCUUGGUUUAUUUGGAAUAAUGUUUAAUAUUUAAGCAUGAUCAUGGGUCCCAUAUGGAUGACCUUUUGACCACUUUAUGCCCAACCUCGUUCGCGCCCGGAGCAUCUUGCAAUCUGGGCCUGUCAACUUGUGCUCAUGGGACUCCUUGAAGGAUGCCGUGUUGGUGGAAGCCCACUUGAUGAGAGUUGUUUUUUUAGAUAGGAGUAAACUAAUGUGGGUUGAUAUUUGAGGUUAUAUAUGUUUAAAGGGUGAAUGGAGCCCCACCAAGCCAUCUUGUAAUCAUUUGAACAACCAGCCCCACUGCACAAGAAUCCAUGCAUGGGCAUUCUUGGGUCCGCCACUCCAACAACCACUCCCAUUUUACCUUUAUACCCAUCCAUCUACUUAUUUAUUAAGUUAUUUCACGCAAUUUCUUCAUUUUUGGUGCUAAAAGUUUAAUCUUCUAUUAUUAUUAUUAUUAUUUCUUUUUUUUUUUUUUUUUUACCCUUAAAUUUAAAUUCCUAAUCCCUAAAAUUCUCAUAAUCGCAUUAAUUUAUUUAAUUAUUGGUAUUUUAUUUAUUUAUUUUAAAACUCCAUUUUAAAUCAAUUCUUUAAAACUUCCAAUUUCCGAAUUAAAUUCAUAAUCCCGAAAAUUUUCAUGUUCACAUUAAUUUAUUUAAUCAUUAAUAUUUUAUUUAUUCAUUUUAAGAUUUCACUUUAAACAAUUCUUUAAAAUUUCUGACUUCCGAUUUUAAUUUCUAAUUCCGAAAAUUCCGAUAUUCACAUUAAUCCAUUUAAUUAUUAUUAUUUUAGUUAUUUAUUUUGAAAUUCCAUUUUAAACAAUUCUUCAAAAUUCCAAUUUUUGAACUUAAUUUCCGAUUUCCAAAAUUCUAAUUUCUUUCAAAUUUAAUGUCCAAAAUUCCAAUUCUUAAAUUUAAUUCUCAAGACUCUAGUCUUCAAAUAAUUUUCGAGACUUUAAUUUCCAAAUAAAUCUCAAAAAUCCAAUUUUCUCUCGAACAGUUUUAAUUCCACUCCGAUUUUUAAAUAAUGUUCUAUUUCUUUUAAUUGUUACACAAGCAAGAAUGAUGAAUCUUCAUAAUUCCGAAAUAAUGGGAUUCGUGAGAUUAAUUCAUGCAAUAUAAAUCGGGCUUUGGUGGGGCCCAACAUAUGUGAUUUCCUUAUGACUGACUGAUUGAUUGAUUUAUUUAUUUUGUUUGAUUUAUUCUGUUCCUUGACAUGCGCAUAAUUUUAUCUAUUCAUGAUUCAUUAAUCCUGUUUCAUGCUAGCGCAUUCGUGACUGGAGGACCAGGUACGUAUCCACUCAUAUUUUGUUCAUUCCUUAUACAUGUUUUGAUUCCCAUAUGUGCAUGAUCGCUUCGAGUAUUCAUUGAUUUUCUCAUUGAUUGCCACGUCAGUUUCACUGUAUUAGUAGAGACCCUACUUUAGGGGCUUAGAGGGGUGCUACGGUCUUUACCGUACCUUCCCGAUGAGUAACCUGACCCCCGAACCCGAUCCGGUUUUCACAGACCACCUUUUCCAAAACAAGGAGUCACACUUAGGGUUUUUCUUUCUUAUUUUGUUUACCCUUUAAAAAUAAAAAAAAAAUAAGUGGCGACUCCAAGUCAUUUCUUUUUAAUAAAUAAAAAUCAUUUUUCAAAUCAAAAUCGAGUUUCGCCAUCGAGUGGGAAACGCAUUGAGCCGAAAUGCGGGGUCCACAAAAUGGCGACUCCACUGGGGAUCAUUAGAGGGUCAAGCUUGAACUUAGGAUGAAGCAAAUGUGGCUUUUGAUGAGUCGAUUAGUGGAUACUCACUUCUUGAUUGCACAUUGAGGGUUCCCGAGUUUUCACUUGGGACAUUGACAUGAUUGAUUGUAUUGGUCGAUUAUCUUGAUUGGAGAUUCUGACACAGUGAUUUUCUUUGUGCUUCAUUGAUAUAUUUGUUUGAGAUAUUUGACAUGAUGAUUAUGAUGAUUGAUUCGUAUUGAUAGAGGAUUCCGAGAUAGCUAUUUUCUCUGUGCUUCAUUGCCAUAUUCUUUUGAGAUGUUGACAUGCUGAUUAUAUUAAUUGAUCAUUUCGUAUUGCUUAGCGCAUUGAUCCUGAUUUUUCCAUGAUUAUUCUGAUCACUUCACAUGCAUACACUCACCACUGUAUAUCACUCAGUUUGACAUGUUGAUUUUCUGACUUGUAUAUCCUCUCGGUCGUCUUUGAGCAUGAUGUUCAUAUCACUAUUCAUCUUGAUUGUCACGACUUGUAUGUAUACAUGAGUGAUAUAUCAUGUACUCUGCCUGACUGCAUGUCGCAUGACUGCCCUUCUUCUACUUGAUUGCAUGUCGUUUGUCCAUGUGGGUCUCACUUCUAUCCCCCUACCUCCAACUCUCUUGGUGUCGGUCAUUCAUUUCAUCUCGGUUCUCACUAUUGCAAGUGUGAGACCUUCUGUGUGCUUGCUCUUUGACCGAGCCGGAGAUUAGGAGUAGGGUCUAGCGAUGGGCUAUAUUGAUGUACGGGAGCAUUCUGGAGGAGAGCGACACUGAUGUCAGGAGGAGUCCGAUCAUUGAAGACCUGUAUAGCCCUGAGCUAGGUUUCAUGGAUAUUUGUGUGGCCAGUGUGUUUCAUCUCUCAUGUUUUAGCUUCUUAGGGUUUUCGGACGCACCCACACCAUUCACUAUGCACUCUAGUCGACCAUUGAGCGUUGAGAGUUUGAGAGGUUUCACCAUAGGAAACCCUCUGGGAUGUCGAGGUAGUGCAUGUGUGGAGGUGAUGACCACCUUGCAUGGAAGCGCCCCGUCUCUUCGGAGGCGUGCAGAGGGUUGCGUACCGCCGGAGGGUGCGAUCGCUUCUGCUAGGGAUCUUUAAAAUCCACCCAUAUCCAUUUAGAGCCACCACGACCUUGUAGUUUGAGCCGUAGAUCCUUUGAUUAGGACUCCCUCCCUACACGUGGGUGCAUCUGAGGGCUUUCAGAGCCUCUGUGGUUACAGUUCGGAUCCAGUAUUCCCUCUUUUUAGUCUCCAGUUGAGAGUGCUCGGAGAUCGGUAUGAGUUUGAGUAUCGAUUGGAUCACCUUUCAUCUUGUCGCUUUAGUUCGUGUUUUUCACUCGAUGAGUUUAGCACGUUUUCUCCCUAGGGUUUUUUUUUCUCACUUCUUGGCUCGACGCACCUCUUCACUUUGUUGUCACUCACUCGAUAUUUUGGGAUAUGUUCAUUGAUCAUCUUUUUUUACGCUGUACACCUAUCACGGGCUCAGUACCUCACUCAUUGUUUUAUUCUUGGUUCGAUUUUCGACUCGAUGCUUAUAUUUUCAUUACAGAAAGGUGAAAGGCAUAUUUUCAUAUUCACACAUUUUUCGAGAGAUUCACCUUGAUCACCUUAUCAUUUUUUUCUUAUGGAGCUCGAAUUGAAGGUUGAAUCCAGGAUAUUUUGUUAUAGAUUGAGUAUCGAUCUUGUGAUAGUGUUGUUCUUCACACCCCAUUUAUUUUCUUCACACCUCGAUCAUUUUCUGGAUUAUCGAUAGAAAUUCUUUAGUCAUAUUUGUAGUUGUCUCACAUUGGACACUCAUGUGACUCUAGAGAUUCUAUCGUCUAUCCAAAUUUUGAUUGUCACCAUAUGAUUGUGUGUCGUGCCCUGUCAUGUUGUGGAUUGUGUUGUAUCAUGCAUUGGUCAUUGUUCGUUGCAUCCCGUGUCGUUGCAUGAGUCGUGUUUGAGUCGUUUUGAUUGGCUCUUCUAUAGGAGUCUAUUUGUGGUCCCAGUCUUAGUUCAGUGCCCUGGGUUGAGUGAGAGAGAUGUUGAUUCGUAUCGUUGAGCUGCUGUAGACAGAUUCACAGUCGGUUUCGAUUGGUUAGCUUAUCACUUCUGUGGUUUCGAUUCAGGAGGCAUUGACCAGUUUGAGCUAGAGGAUGGAUACUCAGCAGGGUAGGCAUGUAGUGCUCGAGGACACGCCAUCUGAUUUAGUGACACCACCUGUUCUACCUGUUCAGAUGCCAGCUACACCGACUUUGCAUACUAUUUCACAUGAUCGGACUGCUAUCGUUCCACCUAUUGUCACACCAGUUACCAUUGUUGAGGAUCCUCGUUCUCGUAUGGACAGACUCGAGCGGAUGAUUGGACAGAUGAGAGAUCCAGAUGAGGUGAUUCCAUGGGAUGACCCUGGCGAUGUGCCAGUAGCCACUUUGCCAGUCGGUUUCAAGAUGCCUGAUAUAGAGAGAUAUACGGGUGUUGGAUGUCCUCGUAUUCAUCUCAGACUUUAUAGCACAGUUAUGAGAGCUCUUGGUCUAGAUGAGGCACAGUUGCUUACUUUGUUCCCAUUGUCGUUGAGCAGCCUGACACAGAGAUGGUACGCUUCAUUAGAGUCAUCUCGUCGGAGAACUUGGGAAGACUUAGCACAGGAGUUUCUGAGACAGUAUUCCUUCAGCGGUGAUACGAGUGUUACACGUAGAGAGCUUGAGUUUCUUAGACAGGGAUCAGAUGAGCCUAUUUCUUCUUUUAUCUCUCGUUGGAGGGAGAAGGCUGUGGAGAUGAUUGAGCGACUUGCCGAGAGAGAUCAGAUGAGCAUGUUUUUGAGGAGUUUGCAUCCUAGGUUCGCUCGACAUCUGACAGGAGUCCCAUUCUAGGAUUUCAGAUCAUUGGUUCAGGCUUUGUUUGAUGUAGAUGAUGGCAUAUCUAGAGGAUUAUGGUAAGAUAUUAUUCCUUCCCCAGAUACUGAGGGAAAGAGAGUUGGUGGAUCAUCUGAGGGCUAUGGAGACAUAUGUUCUGCGGACUUUCAGCAUCGACGACCUGGUUAUCAUUCCUAUGCGAGAUCAUUGCAGAUACCCAGGAGUGAUUUCCCACCUUUACAGCAUCGUCAUCCUCAUCCAGUUCAGUUGUACCCUUCUACGCAUCCUCAUGCUGUCAUGGUGCGACCUUCAUUUCAGUUUCAGCGUCCACAGACUGGCAUCCCACGGCAUGAGCAGUCUCGUCCCCAUCGGCGACAUCAGAGGACUUAUUCUGAUUUGGGGAUGCCUUUGGAUAGAGCUUUUGAGCGACUCCGAUCUACUGGUGUUUUAGUAUCAUUGGCCCCUAGGCCACCCCCGAGUACCUUGCCUCCGCGUUUUCAUGCUCAUGAGUUCUGUGCAUUUCACCAGAUGGCGGGCCACCGUACUGAUUAUUGUGCUUCUCUACGUCACACCAUACAGGAUCUUACUGACAGUGGUGCAGUUAGCUUUCCCAUAUCGACUACAGACACUGAUCUUGGUCCAGAUAUGUCUACUGAUUCCUUUCCAGCUUAGUCCACACAUGCAGUUCCUCCUCCUUCGGGCUUAUACCAUCACAUUUUGGACACCUAGGGCACUGAUAUUCACCAGACCCUUUGAUAUUGCAUACCUUGUUGGUGUGUUUUGGGACUACAUUGUUAGUUGGUCGUUUGAGUUUUUGUUCUCUUUUAUUUUGUAUUUGAGUCUUGUUUUAUAGUUAGUGAUUCGAGUCGUACCCUAUGUUUUGAGAGUAGACCUUACUGUCUUAUUUUUCGCAUGAUGUACUCUCAUUUCACUUAGUGAUAUUGUUGUUUUCUUGGGUAUGUGUUUCUGUCUUCUUUUUAUUAUUAUCAUUGUUUCGUAUCAUGCAUUUUAUGUGUUGUUAUCUUGUGUAGCAUCGUGUGUUGCUUUGUUUUGUCUCUUGCAUGUGUUUGUUUUAGAGUCUUGGACAGUUUUAGUGUCGUGACUGGUCCCCGAGCAGAUAUUGAUGAUAUGAUGGUUAUGAUACAGAGCACAUUGAGAUUAGACUUCUUCAGCUGAGGUUUACCAUGUCGGACGAGAUCGCACCCAUUACUCUUACUACUCUUUAUGAGAUGAUGACGGAUUUGACAUGGAGGGUUGAGAAGAUUGAGCUCAUUUUGUCAGGGCAUCCAUCGUCAUCGAGAGGAGCUCCAGGAGUAGCGAUGCCUUCAUUGCCACACUUGACUUCAUCGACACCUGCUACUUUGGGUGCCUCACAUCCACGGUCUCGCCCACAUUCAGUGUUCCAGCAGCAUUCCUCAUCCAUUUCACUGGCUACGCCGACACGACCUCCGCCCCAGUUUCGGGGCCCUCCGGUCGUUACAGUUCCUCAGGAUCGAUUUCCUCCCCAUCGACGAUGUCGGAGACACUUUUCAGAUUUGAGCGCACCCCUGAGCAGAGUUUUUGAGAUGUUCCAGGCCAUGGGAUUUUUGGCUCCUCUGGCUCCUAGGGCACUUCCAGAUCCUGUGCCCCCACAGUUUCGUCUUGAUUUAUAUUGUACGUACCACCAGUCAGUAGGACAUCACACUGAUCGUUGCACUGCUCUACGACAUGCCAUACAGGACAUUGUUGAUUCUGGGACGUUUGGGCAUCCUCAGUCUGAUAUGUCUCUUAUUUCUACCCCAGCUCAGGCCAUGCAUGCAGACGCCCCUUCACCAGCAGUCCCUGAUCUUAUUGAUUUGGGCGAUUGACUCAUGAUUGGCUUACCUUGGUGUGGUCGCACUCAGAUUUUGUUCAUUCUGUGGCCAGAGACGUGAUGACAGGACCAGUCACUGUUUUUGUUUUUGUUUGUUUAGUCUUGUUUUGCUUUUGACUUUUAGAGACUAUAACUCGAUUCUUGAGUAUUGUCUUUGUUGUCCUUCUUUUACAUGAUGUACUCAUCGGAUUAUUGGAUGCAUUUUCCUUUAUGGACAUGUGUUUGUGUUUUGUGAUAUGAUGUGUUGUACUUUUGACUUGGGGCAUCUCUUCGCUUGCAUAUUGUGGUCUUGAGGCUUGACCUAUCAUGGAGGAUAUUGAGCCUAUUAGCCUAGGAUCAAAGAUUUGACCUAGAGAGUUCGAGAUUGUGAUCCAUCUUCUUAUGAUCAGAGCAGUACCUUGCUCACUUCCCGCACUUUGACUUUGCUUUGACCUACAUCCAUCCAUUGUGAGCUUUGCACAGCAUCACCCUUUGAGACCAUUAUAUGACCUUUCCAUCCUCGGCUUUUCUAGUUUUGCACAUCCCCUCUCUGAUCCGACCAGGUAGAGUGUGAGGAGUUUGAGCCCAGGGUUGAUCUUGAUGGCGAGGGAUAUCUUAUGAUCUUUGGAUGGUUUACGAUAUGAGGAUUGGUUGGUUGCUUGAUGAGAUUAUUGCUUAUUUUGUCGUGAGUAUGGGGAUUGAUCUUGUAUGAUGAGGGUUGUCUUGUGAUGGGCAGUCGUGCCUGAUGAGAUCACCGUUUACUUUGCCUUGAGAGGAUCAUCUUUGAGAUUAUCAUAGAGCAUUUGGAGUACAGUUGGUGCAUGAUUCUAGAGUGUUGACGUGGUCAUAUCAGAUAGACAUCGAUCUUUAGUAUUGAUCAUUUGAGGGCUUGAGAGCAUGAUGUAUGAGACCGUGGUUGCAGGAUGGGUGGCCUUCAUUUCGGUUAGCUCACACCCUAUUACCUCUAUUGACAUAGUCCAUUGCUAGCCCUUUGAGCCUCGCAUGAGCAUCGUAGCCUUUUAUUUCUUAUAGCCUUGCUCACCUUCUACACCGGGAUAGGGGCCCAUCAGUGUAUGCAUGCAUUGUUUAGGAGUUUCAUGAGCCUGGGACCGAGGGGUACAUCUUUCUCAUUAUCUUUUCCUAUCAUUGCGUCAUUGCAUUUCAUCACAUCUCGUUGGUUCUUCAUCCUCUUCUUUAUUAUAUCUAUCAUUUGUUCCGCUUCAUCUUCUUCCACCCCCGAGUGGUGAUCAUCCUCAGUUCAUUACAUGGAGGGUAGUCAUGUCAUUUUCCACUAUCUAUCCUACGGACGUUGAUCCAGGGAUCCUUGGCUUGAGAGGGUCACAUCAUUAGAGAGAGUUUGUGAUAUAUUGAUAUUUGAGAGCAUGAUUAUUCAUUUUUGAUCCCGUCUUUGGGUCUUUCUUGGUUUGCUUUAGAGCAUGUAUAUUUGUAUAUAUGUAAAAAAAAAAAAAAAAAAAAAAAGAAAAAAGAAAAAAAAAAAGAGGCACAUGUGUGUAUUAUUCUCUAUCAUUGAGUAUGUGUAUAUUAGUGUUCGAGGGGUCGCUUUGUUGGAUAUGUCUAUUGAUGGGAGUUCGUAUGUGAGCUCCUCGGGACCUUUCAUUCUUCGUAUUCAUUUUGUUGUAUGUUUUGAGAGCGAGAUGAGUGGCCUUCUCUUAGGAGCUCUGGGUCAUUGUCCAUUCCAUCAUUGUGU